UUAUUUGAAAAUAUAUAUUAGUCACCAUGCAUCUACAAAUUGUUUGAGUACUGGUUACCGGAAGAUGAUGCUUCUAGUUGUUCCCAUUUGGUUUUCACAAAGAUAAGCUAAAGAUUUUCAGUAAGAAAAUGUUAAAGCUAUGAGAUAUGCUACAUAUGGAGUUUUGAUGAUUAGCAAACAUAACAAACAUGAUGAAAGAACUAGACACUAAACAUGUCUCAAAUAGGGACUAGUAGUGUUUAUGACACGACUACUGCAAGAGCUGAUUACAGGAGCACACUGCAAGAAUUGAAGGAAUCAGGUCCUUCACAGUAUACUGGAGAAGACUGUUGAUCAGGCGCAAAGCAAAUUCCAAGUACAUGAAGGAUUCAUUGAGGAAUUGGGAUUACGGCUAAUCACAUGGAUCAAGGAACAAGAAAUCAAGAUGGAAAUAUUACCAUAUUUGCACGCAUGGAAAGAGUUUUGGAAAUAGGAGAAAACAAGUGGAAGUCGACACGUGAAUGGAAACGAAGUUUGAAAGAAGGAUGCACAUCCAGCCAAUUUUUUUUUGAUAAUAACAAGGACAGAAAACAGUCACAUGUCUUCUAAGUGGUUAAGAAGAGGACCCCACCUAUUUUGGAAAGGAUUUUUAAGACUUGAACUUGGACAAUUCUCAACUUAUGAGCUAGAUUUUUAGGCUGAGUUAGGACCAAAGGUUUAUUGUGACCAAUUCUUUUUUCUUAGUUUACCUAAUGUUAGGCCCGCCCCUUUGUGAUGUUGUUCACAUUUGAGAUGUCUAGUCCUUGGUGUGGCACGGGAUAGGGUGUUAAGUGUCCCAUAUUGAUUGAGUGAAUGGGUUGUUGUCUCCUCAUUUGAUCUUGGAAAAUCCUCACCUCAUGAGUAACUUAUGCAAUUGAGUUAGGCCUAGGUAAGUUUUCUUUACCUUGUGUGAGAAAUAUUGGAGAAGAAUAUUAUUGAAUUAUUGUCGUGUCUACAUUAUUACACUGAGACCCUAUUUAUAGGCACUACAAUACAAUCCUUUACCAAGUAGGAUACUAUUUACUAUUCCUAUUUCUAUUCCUAUUCUAUUCUAAAUAAGAUUGUAUGAACCUAUUCCUAUUCUACUAGGAUUGUAUAAACUUAUUCCUAUUCUAGUAGGAUUGUAUAAACCUAUUCAUAUUCUAACACUCCCCCUCAAGCUAGUGCAUACAAUUCAUGUACCUAGCUUGUUACAAAUGUAAUUAACACGAGGAUCGAUGAGGAGCUUGGUGAGAUAUCUGCAAGUUGAUCAUCGACUUCACAAAAUUGACAGUCAAUCUCAAUGUGCUUGUCUUCUCAUUAAAUUCGGGAUUUGAUGUAUAAUGUCAGUCAAUAUCAAUGUGCUUGUCUUCUCAUUAAAUACUGGAUUUGAUGCAUAAUGUCAGUCAAUCUCAAUGUGCUUAAUCUUCUCAUGAAAUACUGAAUUUGAUGCAUAAUGCCGAUAAAACACAGAGUGAUAAAAUUCCAGUGUUGAACUUCCCAAACCAAACUUGCAAAGACUGACUCACAUAAUCGACAUACAAGGCUACUAAACUCCCCCUGAGUAACAAAAUUAGGUGGUUGCUCCAUAUAGACUUCUUCACAAUGCAGCGGUCGUUAUAAGUGCUCAAAAUCUAGUAUAAAGUAUAUGGAUCAUGUUGGAAUCAAUAGAUGAGUCNNNNACACUACAAUACAAUCCUUUACCAAGUAGGAUACUAUUUACUAUUCCUAUUUCUAUUCCUAUUCUAUUCUAAAUAGGAUUGUAUAAACCUAUUCCUAUUCUACUAGGAUUGUAUAAACCUAUUCCUAUUCUACUAGGAUUGUAUAAACCUAUUCCUAUUCUACUAGGAUUGUAUAAACCUAUUCCUAUUCUACUAGGAUUGUAUAAACCUAUUCCUAUUCUACUAGGAUUGUAUAAACCUAUUCCUAUUCUACUAGGAUUGUAUAAACCUAUUCCUAUUCUACUAGGAUUGUAUAAACCUAUUCCUAUUCUACUAGGAUUGUAUAAACCUAUUCCUAUUCUACUAGGAUUGUAUAAACCUAUUCCUAUUCUACUAGGAUUGUAUAAACCUAUUCCUAUUCUACUAGGAUUGUAUAAACCUAUUCCUAUUCUACUAGGAUUGUAUAAACCUAUUCCUAUUCUACUAGGAUUGUAUAAACCUAUUCCUAUUCUACUAGGAUUGUAUAAACCUAUUCCUAUUCUACUAGGAUUGUAUAAACCUAUUCCUAUUCUACUAGGAUUGUAUAAACCUAUUCCUAUUCUACUAGGAUUGUAUAAACCUAUUCCUAUUCUACUAGGAUUGUAUAAACCUAUUCCUAUUCUACUAGGAUUGUAUAAACCUAUUCCUAUUCUACUAGGAUUGUAUAAACCUAUUCCUAUUCUACUAGGAUUGUAUAAACCUAUUCCUAUUCUACUAGGAUUGUAUAAACCUAUUCCUAUUCUACUAGGAUUGUAUAAACCUAUUCCUAUUCUACUAGGAUUGUAUAAACCUAUUCCUAUUCUACUAGGAUUGUAUAAACCUAUUCCUAUUCUACUAGGAUUGUAUAAACCUAUUCCUAUUCUACUAGGAUUGUAUAAACCUAUUCCUAUUCUACUAGGAUUGUAUAAACCUAUUCCUAUUCUACUAGGAUUGUAUAAACCUAUUCCUAUUCUAGUAGGAUUGUAUAAACCUAUUCAUAUUCUAACACCUUGUACCAGAAAUAAAACUAGCCCUAUUCUUGGUUUAAUUUUGGGCCCAUUUAAUGUUCUCCACGCUUCUGAUGUUUAGUCCAGUCUCCAGUGUUAUGUGUCUCACAUUGGUUGAGGGAAUUGGCUAUUGUCUCCUUAUAUGGGCUUGUGCAAUCCUCAUAUGAGCUAAGUUUUUAAGAUUGAGUUGGACCCAAAGAUCCAUUUUCUUAACACGGAUGACUACUUUCAUCUUUCUUCUUUUCUUGGGCCAAAUCCAGUAGUGUUUAUUGUUAUUUUCCACUGAAUACAAAAUGUGUGGUUUCAAAGUUCAAUUCUGUGGUGCCCCCAAGGCCUAGCUCAAGUGGCAAAAGGUGGAGGAUUUGUGGCUUAGGUCAUAGGUUCAAGCCCCACACCAUGCAAAGCGAAGCCCGGUAUUUAAGUGGAGAAGGGUAGAGGGGCGGGCCCAUUAUCCACCGAGUUUAGAGGGCUGUGAUUGGUCCAAAGGGCGGGUCACAGACGGAUUUCUCGGUUAUCAAAAAAAAAAAAAAAAAAAAAAAAAAGUUCAAUUCUGUGGUUCUACUCUCGGAUACAUUCUUCUGUCAAAAGUACUGUUUCAUUAGCUGCAGUAUUUUAUUGGCAGUCACCUUGAUCUGUAUUAUUUAGUAUAGUUCUUCUAUUUAACAUAUUUAACCUUAGUGUGCAUCAUAUCUUUCAUUUAUACCGUUCUUGCUGGAAACUUUUUCUCACAGGGUAUCACUGGGUUUAUCUGUGGUUCUGAGGGUCUUGACAGUUCAGGUCUCAGCUCUUCUGCCGCGGUAAGUUGUGUUUUCCAUCACUGCCUUUGAAUUUGCAUUAGUUAGACUAUCAAGAAAUGUAGUUCCUAUUUUUCAAUUUUAGCGAAGUUCGUGUAAUCUGGUGAAGUUAGUUCUCCAGACCCUGUAAGGCCUUAUAGUGGACUUUUUUCUUUUUGCUGUUGCAUCCUUAAGGAAAAGAGAUCUCACUGUUCGCUCUUUCCUUGCAUCUUUGUUCUUUUCUUAUAGUAGUAUCUGUUCCUUACAGUGACUGAGAUAUCCUAUUCAGUAUAACUUUUCUUUUGUCUUGUGGAGUUUCAUUUAACAAUUGUCAUGUUUAACAGGUUGGUAUUGCAUAUCUGUUGGCUUUUGAAAGUGCAAAUGGUCUUGUAGUGAGCCCGACAGAAAAUAUUGAAUAUGAUAGGUAUGCUACCUGUACAGUGGUCUCGUCUAUGUUGCUAGCAAGCUCAUUUAAGAUACCUACUCAUUUAAGAUACCUAGUGCUUCCUUAGCUAUUUAAUUUGUGACAUUAUUUUGGUAUGAAUCUCUUGUUACUUUUGUUGCGUGCAGGCUGAUUGAGAAUGAAUAUUUAGGUCUGAAAAAUGGGAUAUUGGAUCAGUCUGCAAUACUGUUAUCCAGCUAUGGCUGUUUGACCUUCAUGAACUGCAAGGUGAUGCGUUUUAUUCCACACAAUAAAUGGUUGACUUAGCAAAUAAUCUUUUAUGUUAAUUGAGUUUUGAGAAGUUGUUAGAAAGCUCUUCCUGCCCUUGAAUUUUUUUUGUUCUCCCUUAGCAUCAGCUAAAAAAGUGAUACUGUCUCUUCUCAUUUAACUUGCAAUGCUCUUGCGAUGUAUGAAAAGGGUUUAGAUGUCAAUCCCGAAAUAAUUAAACAUAGGAACUUUAAGCAAGCAUGACUAUGUGCAAGAAAGAAAGGAGGAAAAUUAAGAAAUUGGCCAUAGAAGUAGAAAUUAUUUGUUAGUAUUCAAAACUGCAUGAUGAGUUGGUUUGCCUUUUCGUUUAUGUCAUUUGCUCCAACUUUUCUCUUGUUACAAUUUCAGUUUUAAAUUAUGGCUCCUUUUGUUGUUUUCUUCUGAUACAGAUUUUGUGUUCUCUGGAAAACUCUGACAAUUAUAGACCACAUGUGCAGACCAUAAAACACAAACUGAUACACCCGCCAACGGUGCAAAAUAAUCAUGAAGGAGAGUUGGGUAAUGCAUACAAGAUAUUGCUGGCCUUUUCAGGUCUUAAACAGGCAUUGACAACAAAUCCCGGAUAUAAUCGGCGUGUUGCGGAGUGUCAAGAGGCUGCAAAAAUUCUGUUGCAGUAAGAUAUUUUCAUACAUUAUUGAAGCUUGCAUCCUGGAAUGACAAUCGUUUCUUCUUUUUUCAAGUUAUGGUCAUGGAAUGCAUGGCCGUUUAUUGAUUGAAUACUAAGACUUGGAACGGUAAAUCCUAGAUGUAGGCCACUACUCUCCAUUAAGACAAAUACGUUAUAUUUUAAUCCUGAAGGAAAUGUACCAAAAGAAUGAACAUUCUUUAAUGAUUGAACUUCAAGCCUUCUUCUGGACUUUCCUGAAAGUGUGAAACAUUCCAAAGACUAAUAAAAUCUUAUUGAUUUUUUCGGAAUGCAAUACAAGUAUGAUGAAGUUUUGAUGAGAUCUAAUAGAUUUAUAUCACAGCUCUCAUUUCCGGGACUUACGGGUAUUUUUUUUCUUCUUCUAGAGCUUCGGGGGAUGAAGAGAUGGAACCUGUUCUAUCAAAUGGUAGGGUACUCGGCCUGCAUUUGUCAUUGAAAUAGUGAUGCAGCUUUAAUGAUGAUGUUGAUAACAUAUCUAUUGUUUAUGCAGUUAAACCAGAAGUUUUUGAAGCCCACAAGGUAAAAAUCCACAAGUAUAUAUUGGAUGUUUAAUUACUCAACCAUCAUUAUACAAAGGUCGUUUGCGACAUCUAUAUGUGAAAAUCUUCUUCGCCUUUAUAUGGAUUGAUUGUAUUUAUACUAUGUUUUUGGAAUUUUCUUUUCAGAGUAAAUUAGUAGCCAACCUAGCUAAACGAGCAGAGCAUUAUUUCUCUGAAAAUGAGAGAGUUAUGAAAGGUAUUAUUCUUUACAGAUCUUUACUCCUUUUAUUUUUAUGUUUAGCUUUAGGACAGUCCAUUCAUAACUCAUGUGUGGUCUGUUUUAGGACUUGAGGCUUGGGCUUCCGGAAACCUUAAAGAAUUCGGAGAGCUUAUUACAGCAUCUGGUCUAAGUUCUAUUCAAAACUAUGAGUGUGGUAAGUGUUAAUUUUCUUACUUGAUAUCUUAAUUUCAUUGUUUUCGAUAUGUAACUUUCUCGAUAAUGUAUGUCUGAGGCACAAAGAAUAACCAAAUCUUGAACUUCACUUGAAUUAUUUUAGGUUGUGAACCACUUGUACAGCUAUAUCAGGUUCUUCUGAAGGCUCCUGGUGUACUUGGGACACGGUUCAGUGGUGCAGGAUUCUGAGGCUGCUGUAUUGCAUUUGUAGAAGCAGAUAAAGCAGAAGAAGCUGCAACUUUUGUCGUGAACGAGUACAGUAAGCUCCAGCCCGAGUUGGCAAGUCAUCUUAACCAAGGACCGGCUGUAUUGAUAUGUGAUGCAAGUGACUCUGCACGCGUGAUCAGCAACACUUUCAGUUAGCUAAACGAGUAAACGUUCAUAGCUAUAGCUCCACGAUAUCUCAUUUUUUCCCAUCUAUUCUUUUCAGAUUAUUUGUAUUUUUGUACCUUUGGGCGCUUCCUAUUAUUUCAUUUUCCACAUUGACUUUGUGUAUAUUAAAUUGGACGCUGGAGAAGCAUUACAUCAAUAAAUUGUAUUGGUUAAGGAUUAAAGGACCUUUCUUUAGUGAAUGUCCCACAAUAAUUGUUUCUUCUCUUUUUUCUUUCGAGAUGUUGUACUUUUUUCUUUUAUCUAAUCAAGGAUAUGGUCGCAAGGCUGAAACGUAAAGGAAUUGACAGAAGGGCACCAUCCCUGUGGCUUAAUUUGACUCAACAUGGGAAAAGUUACCAGAUCCAAACAUAGUAAGAUUGAUAGACUGAGAGUUCUUUCUUGAUUCUAUGGGUGGUGGUGCAUGACUAUUAAUUCCACUUAAUUCCAUUAACCUACGAGACCCCAAGUACAUAGCAAGAACAAUCCUCAUAUAUUAUAAAAAUUAUUAAUUUGUGAAUUUAUUUGGUUAAGGACAGUCACUUUUUUGUGCAAUCUGCUACAAUUACAACAAAAGACUGGCAUAUUGGGAAAGGUAUUAAAAGAAUUUCCUCACAAAUGGUCAAUUUGAGCAGUAGCUAGUAAAGUGCUCCUUACAUGAUUUUCUUUAUCUUUACAUGCACAAAUGUUGUAUAUCCAAAAGAUUUUAACAAUGUCAUCUUGCAGGAAUCAAAAUCUUAAUGUAAACUUCACUUAAUCAAGCAUAUAGAUUCGCGAUGCAACGUCUUGUACCAGCCAAUCAAAUCCCUCAAGUAGCCCGUCUCCUGUGUAUGCACUACAUCCUACGAUUCUCCAGUGCCUGCUAUUGUCCAUAGCCUCCAGAUUAAGCACCUGAAUCAGAAGAAAAAAGUUGUGACCCCUCUCUGUGAAUGUCAAGUUCAUGAAUAAUUGACCAUACAUAAAAGAAGGAAGCAAGAAAAAAAGAAGCAGAUCUGUGUAGAAAUAGGUUACUAGUCAAUUGAAGUAACUUGGAAACUACUACAUAAUACUUUGGCAUAAUACAUAAGCAUGUCCAUUAACUUAGCCUUAGGUGACAACUAUGCCCUCCAACUUUGGAUGUGCACAAGUAGAUACUUCAACUUGUAUAAAGUUGAACAAAUAGACACAUGCAUCCUACUACAUGACAAUUUUGCGUCCUACGUGGUAUCCUACUUGUAUUAUGCCAUGUAAGAUGCGUGUGUCUACUUGUUCAAUUGUAUACAAAUUUAAGUGUCUACUUUUUUUUUGAGAUAAGGGUAACUUAAAUUUAAGUGUCUACUUGUACACACCCAAAGUUGGAGGGCAUACAUGCCAGCUAAAGCCAAGUUAAAGGGCGUAUUUAUGCCUAGUACUUUCUCAACCACCACUAGAAAGAAGCUUCUCUCGUGAUCUCUCAGUUUAUUGGUUUGCAUAAUUGGAUCUUCAGAUUUUUGAACGAAACAACAGUUCAUGCUUAACCUUCGACAUAAUUGUUAAGGGUAUCAUAGAUUGCAACCUUACUAGUUCCAAGUGUAAGAACUUCACUUCAAUAUUCAUUUGACACAGUUUAAGGUAUAACAAGAAGCAUCCUUACUUUGGCUAUUUCAUCUGGAGAAAGAGCACCUUGUAUGUCCUGCUUAUUUGCAAAAAUCAAUAAUGAUGCUCCUGAUAGCCUCUGCACAGAACAUAUAGCACCAAGUAAAAAUCAUUUUCAAUGAUUGACAUUGUAGGUUCCCUCUUUGUUGCUCUACAUUGUUACCAGUCGUACCAAGCCUCACCAGAAAUGAACUGUUAUCUUUAUGAAGAAUAAUCAGAGAGAAUAUUUUCAGCAAUAAUCAAGUUGCAGAGUACUCCUGGUAUUGAAUGAAUAAAAAUGAAAAAAAAAAGAGUACUCCUGGUAUCACUUACUGAAGUGCUUGAAUAACUUGUUAAGAACAAAAAGAAAACGAAAAUAAUGUGGUAAACUAACUAAAAUGACAACAACAAUGGAUUCAUUCAAUAACGAAAUUUGACCUUUGUGCCUGCUAAUUAAAGAAAGGAGGAGGUCAAUCAAAAAGAGAUGUUAUUAAUGAGAGGGCCCCGAUGCACAUGUGGAAGUUCUUUCAUGAAUAAGCCAACCAACACUUAGCUUACUAAUAAUGGAGUAAGAGCUUACUAAUGUAUAGGAUAUGUUACUCUUUCUACCUUGAGUGCAGUGAAGGAGUCUCGCCUCACCCGCCCAUUUUACUUAUGGCAUCAUACACUUUCUUUUCAAUCAAACGGAUUUUAUAACAAUAAAGAAAGACCUCUCUUUUGGGAUGAGUCAUGUCCCUAGAUGAUAUAGUCAAUCCAUAGGACAUUCAAAGAAGCUAUGCACCUUCACUAAAUUUUAAUGAUAGCAAGAUCUGUCAUCCUAUUCUCAUCUAAUGAAAAGGGAUUUGCACGUUCUUUUUUUGGGACACAUAGGAUGUUACAGAUACACAAAAGAAGACUUUUUGAAUCGCCUAAUAAACACAUUCAACAACAAGGUUUAUGCCUCUAUGGUGCUUUAUUAGUAACAUGAUGAUCUGAGGGUGGACAGUUAGGCAACUACUUGUAAAAUUCUAAUGGCACCACAUUAUGAAACAUGUAACAAGAUGAAUAGAGCUAGUAAAUGUGCAUAGGCAGUUCUGUUAGAAAAUCACUAAAUAGGUUCUGUACACAAUUUAUUAUUUUCAUAGCCACACAAAUAAGUUUCCAGAAAAAAAUCUUAAUUGAGAUUAUUAAUAGUAUGAUGAUUUUGGCUGAGGGUGGAAGGAAGCUAUAACAUGUGGUGCAACUUGCAUCAAACAAAGUUAUAACAUUCGUUACUUAAAGCCUCCACUGUGGAGGAAAAUGCAGCAAAAGGAAUGUCGCCAGAAAAUGACAUGUAAAUGAUUGCAAACGCUAAUUAACUUGAAAUAACAAAAUAUUCAAACAAGUGUCAUAAUAAGCAGAAGCUGGCAGCAUUUCCACGACGAAGUCUGAGAUUGGAUGCGCUUUGACAUGUGAAUUUACUGAAAACUCAUCCCCUUGCUUUUGACUCACUAUUUUGCAUUUAGACCACUGGAAAUACUCCCUCCGUUCCAAUUUACAUGGCAAUAUUUCCUUAUUAGUCUGUUACAAAAAGAAUGACAACUUUCUAAAUUUGGAAACAAUUUAACUUAAACUUCCCAACCCUUAAUGAAAAGCUUUUAUAGCCACACAUGUUUCAAAAGUCUUAUAAACACACAAAUGCCAUGACAAGAUUAAACCAUAAGUUUCAAAUGUUUUUUUUUCUUUCUUGACCUCAUUGCCCAGUCAAACUAUGCCACACAAACUGAAAUGGAGUGACAAGCAUAGGUAUACAGUAUAAAAAGUAUGCACGCAUUCUGUGCCAUAACUGAAACUUAUUCCCUAGUUUCUUGACCAUUAUGUUGCACUUAAAACAGUAUGGAGCAGGUAACACCAAACCAAAGCAUGCAAGAUGUAGAUUGUACACUGCUCAAUUGUCAGUUGUUAGAGUUGGUGAUGCAUUUGGGAGAGACCUUUUAAGACAAUGCUAAAUAGGAACAAGUAGUUCCAACAACUCCAUCCCCUAUGUAUUACAGUAUCAGCUAUGAAUUAAAUUCAACAUCUUGUUUAGGGAACACAUGCUCUUGCUUCUUCAUGUAUUAGGGGAUGUAGUUUUUUUUUAUAAGGGUGGGGACACACGUCUUCCUGAAUGACACUUAUCACAUCACCGUCGCCCUUAUCAAAAAGAAAAAAAAACUCCAUCCAUCCAAUAAUUACAUGAAGAAGCAAGAACAUCUGUCUCCUAAAACAAGAUGCAAUGUAAAACAACUCGGGAAUCAAAAUAUCUCACUAGGUUAAUAAACCAAUGGAGAAGUGCAAAUUCAAUGGUUUGCUGCCUAUAAACAUCGUAAGAACCAAAAUCAUAAAUCUGCAUGUCUUAAAAAUGAUAAUGCAACUAUAUAGAAGCAAGGAAAGUUCAAACAAGUUGUACCCUUUACUUGGCACAACUUAUGAAGGACUCACACCCCUAGAUACACUCGUACGAUAGUGGUUAGUAGAAGAGAAAAAGGGGAAUUGGAUCAGUAAACCACCCUAAAAAUCCAUGUGUUAUUGGAGUUUUUGCACAAGGGAAUAAAUGAGGUUCAACAACAGAAAAGAGAACCAAUAUGACAUAUACCUCCUCCUUCAGAAGAUUAUGUAGCUCGUAUCUGCAGUCAUCUAGCCUUCUCAGAUCAGAACUAUCCACAACCCACACCAAGCCAUCAGUUUGCUCAAAAUAGUUUCUCCAAUAAGACCGUAUUGUUUUCUGCCCCCCAACAUCCCAUAUAUUGAGGGUAUACCUGCAGCAUGUCAGGUUAACUUGAAAUCAGCUAUUUUGAAAUUUCAGGAAAAGAAUCUCAUUUCUAACAAGGGUCAGUUAGAAGGAAUUUUAAACUACUAAAAUGAUUUAAACACACCAGAUAGUAAUUUCAAAGACAUACAUGCUGACAUAACUCUGUUUCUGUUGUGUUUUUAAAUGGAUGGAGCAGCAAAAUUAUUAGAACUGAUUGAAAUUGUCUCUGAAGUUUUAUUAAGUAUAGAGAGUUAAAUAGUCAAUUAAAAAACAAAAAAUGUGCAAAAUUCUGUAGAAUAAAAUUUUAAAAACCUCAAAUAUAUCACUUAGACUUAUCUAACUAAACCUAAAAUUUUAAAUUAGAACAAAGACUUCUCCUACAACUAAACUAAUUAUUCUAGUAAAUCAACACUAACAAAAGCAAAUAUUCAACACUCUUCCUUUGCUUCAAUUACUGCAAUCUGAAAAGUUGAUCCUCCUCAACUUAUGCUUUUGUUGUUUGUGAUGGAGGAUUGUUUUGAACAUCUUUGAACUUGCAACUUUCAUAAUAUGGUUUGUUUGUUUGAAAUUUCCACAUAUUGCAAUAGGUCUCCACCAAUAAUUUUUGUUCUAGGUGUGUGUUUUCUUUUUGAAGUAUCCGUAAAAAGGAUAAUUAACCUUUUCUCUUUUGUUUAUAAAAGCACACACAGUUGCAUUGUCUUAUAUAAAUUAUAAAGGCUCUUCUUUGUGCUUGAAGAACACUUACUAAUUCUUUAACAAAAACAGUAGUUCAACAGAGACAAUAGAGAGAUUUUUAGACUCUUCUAGACGGGAGAUUUUAGAUUCGAAUAUCUCUGAAACUGUCACAAGAAUUUUUUUCAACUAUUCUGUCAUCUUUGAAAUCCUUGCCAAGCAACCUGAUUCUAUUAACGAUUAAAAAAAAAUCUUGUUAUUACACUAAGUAAUAGUCUCAUUCUUUCAUCCUAAGAGAUUCAAAAUCUCUUUUCAAAUUACAAAUCUGUAUUUGUCUAACUCAAUCACUUCCUUAGUAGUCUUUUUUGAGUUUUUCCCAAGUUCUUUUGUUGUCUCACAUGCAAUGAUUUUAUAGAAAAUCGAAUCUGCAACUGAAUUUUGAAUUACAGUUUUGGCAUUGUAUUUUUUGGUUCUCUGCAGAAUGAGCUUUAAUUUGGACUCUGGACUUCACUAAUGAAGCCCCAAAAAAUUUAUGUCUCUGGCAGGAUAAAACCGAGAACUCUACUUGCUAUGCAAAACAUAGUCAUGCCCAAGCUUGAAUUAAAAAAAAAGGGUGUGGUAGGUUGAUGUAAUGUAAAAAAAUAGGCUAUCAAUGAGUACACGGAGGAUUCAUAUAGCUGAUCCCAACUGUUUCAGGAUAAAAAUAUAGUUGAUUAAUUGACAUCAUAAACCAAUGCCCUCGAAAGUAAUUCAAAAGGUAAGAAUCAAGAGUAUGUUUAAAUGAACCAAUUCUAAUUUUAGGAUUCAACUAAUCACAUAAAUAUUGCCUGACAAAAUACAUCUUGAACAUGUAGGUUACAGUUAAAUGAGUAACAACUAUAAAUAGGAAUCAAAACAUUAUUGAAGCAGGAUAACAGAAUGCAGAUCUAAGAAACAAAACAGAAAGAAAGCAGAGAAACCAUACUUCUGAUAUGUAAUGGUUUUGAUGUUGAAGCCAAGAGUUGGACUGAUGACACUUGUGUCUUCACCAUUUAUUUUUAACACUAUUGUUGUCUUACCAGAGUUGUCAAGACCCCUAUAUAAUAAACAGAAUUAAAUAACUAGUCAAUAAAUACACUAUGUAUACAAAAAUCCUCCAUGCCACAUGUUAGAGGUUAGCUUGUAGACUUACACCAUAAGGAUGCGCAUCUCCUUUUCUUUUCGCUUGAUCUUUCGGAUAAUGCUGAGAAGUCCCAUCGUGAUCACUCCUAGUUUCCUGGACAAAGUUCAACAUUCAUUAAUAUAAGUUGACAUGCAAAACCUGAUACCAAGUAAUCUGUCACAGAGUGAUGUCCAACAGUAUGUUCUGGCUAAUGAUGAAAUAUUUAAUGAAAACAAAUGACUAUGCAACGGUAAAGUCUCUCCUCUUUUAUUUCCUUUUUUUUCUGUCUUUCAGACAUUAAAUGUGGUAAAUCUGUUUUCCUUCUCAGAAUCAAUCCAAAUGUACAAUACAUAAAAUCAAUGACCCGAAGUAUCAACUAGGUGAUCAUCCAGUUUGCCGUUGCAAUUAUUGUUAUCAAAACCAACAACAAACAACAUACCAGUGUAAUCCCACAAGUGAUUUAGGGGAGGGUAGAGUACGCAAACCUUACCCCUACCUCGUAGAGAACUUGUUUUUGAUAGAUUCUCGGCUCAAGUAAAACAUCUCAAUAGAGUUUAAGAAAGAGAAUAUGAAAAUGAAAGAAGUAGUAACAACGAAAUAGAUCGCUAUGGAAAGAUAUACAUAGCAUACAGAAGAAUUAACAACAAACUAGUGCAAUAAGCAAAGCAUAGGAAACACAGAUGGUAACUACAAUCGACAAACAAGAAACUACGUGAAUAGUGUUAAUACAAUUAGUAAGAGAGUAUGUAAUACAACAACCUAUUCUGCCCUGCAGGAAAGUGAGAGAAUGCUCAACUAACCUUCUACUGUAAUUGGUGACCUUAAAAUCCUUAUUUCUAGGUCAUGUCCUCGGUAAGCCAAAGAUGCAUUGUGUCCUGUCUAAUCACCCUCCCUUGGUACUUCUUUGGCCUACCUCUCCUUCAGGCCACCAUUGACAACUUCUCACACCUCCUUACUGGAACAUCUAUGUUUCUCCUAUUUACAUGUUCAAACCAUCUCAAUAUUGCUUCUCUCAUUUUGUCCACCAUGAGGGGCACUCCCAUCUUGUUGGGGAUAUCUUCAUUCCUAAUCUUAUCUAUUCUAGUAUGCACACAUUCAUCCCCAUUUCCACAACUUUUAUUUUCAAAACAUGAGAGUUCUUGACUGACCAACAUUCCACUCCAUACAAUAUAGUCGGUCUAACCACCACUCUGGAGAACUUACCUUUACAUUUAGGUGGUAGUUUUUAUCACAAGACUCCAGAGGUGAGCCUUCACUUCACCCAUCCUGCCUAAUACAAUUUGUGAUAUCAUCGUCAAUCUCCCCAUUAACUUGAAUUAAAGACCCAAGAUACUUGAAACAUCCUCUCAUGGGGAUGACUUGAGUAUGAAGUCUCACUUCUAUGCCAACAUCCUGCGCACUGCAAAUUUGUGUUUUGAGUCACCUCCCAUUGUUCUCACCUUUGUCUUUGCUCCAUCGUAUUGUUAUUGAUACCAUCGGUGAAAAAUGUAACAAUCAUCUUUACUUACCUCCCUAUGUAAAAGGAAGUUGCAAACAAUUGUACUUGGUGACAGUAGAAAAGUGAAAGAUCUUCCAGGUGCCUAGGCCAUUUUGCGUGCACCUCUACUAUUUCACUGGGAACUCACUACCUCCCACUAGUUCAGGUAUACGGUGUACCCACUUAGUCAGAUGAAAAAAAAUCACCUAGUGUUUUUUGCUUUCACUAGGAUUUGAAUUGGAGCCCUCUUCAUACUCCCCUACUUCUAUGACCACUAAACCACAUUCUUGAGUGCAACUAAAAUAUCGAAUUUAAUGCCAUAAAAUGGACAAGUGAAUAAAUGAAGAAAAAAAAAGAACGGAAAAGCUUAUGGAAACCCAUAUAAAUGGGAGAAAAGAAAAAAAAUGAUGGAAUUUUGCUUGUAGAUGGGAAAGAAAAACUACCAAAAUUCACCUUGUUACUUCAUAAUUGUCAAAAUCAGCUCAAAAUAUGAGCACAAGUAAUAGUCUCCCAAUUAUUUGUUGGACUUAUAGUUCAACAGCAUUCCACAAUGUAUUCAGAGAACCCACAAAUAAGUAGAAAAAUUCAAAUUUCAGUUUCAUGGCAUAGAACAUAACUUACAAGUUACCAAAUUUAUACGUGGGUGAGAUUAGAAAGAGAAAUAGAGUCGGAGAGAUAGCAGAGAGCAUUACCUGGUGGCCGAAGGUAGGUUCUGACGGCAAUCAUGGCCGGAGAUCGUGUAAAUGUGAUGUUGGGUAUUUUCGUCAUUAAAUUUCACUUAGCAACCAUUUGGAAAGUCUCCUUAUUAAUUGAGAAAAUUAUAUAAAAUAGCAAAUUAUUAAUUCAAAUUAUAUGUUAUAACCACAGUUUCAUUUAAUUGUAAUUCGUAGUGAACACUUGCCAUUCGCCUCUCUCCCCAGCUAAUUUCACUCUCCCUCGCCUCUCUCACUUCAUACAAACACAAAUGCACCUCUAUACUUUUGAUGUAAUUACUACAGGAGUUCACUAUUGGUGUACUUCUAUGUUUAUAAUACCAAUUAACUUUCUCAAAAAAUAAAACACAAAUGCAUAAAUUGUGUUUGUGUUUGUAUAAAGCGAGAGAAAACUAUAUAUACAAAUACAUAUAUUUUCGUCGUAUACACUUAUAAUUAUACAAAUAUAGAUCUUCCCCUACCAGUUCUCUUUUGCCUUUUUCUCUUUCUCGCUUUAUACAAAUUACUAUGUAUAAUUUGUGUUGUAUAAAGCGAGAGAGAGAUUUUAUAUACAAAUGUUUUAUUGAUUCAAUUAUAUACAAAUUCAAAUUUUAUGUAUAUAUAUAAAAAGAAUCAUUAAUACAUAUACAUAAUAAUUACAUAUAUAUAAUUAUCUAACUGAUAUACAUAUAUACAAUCGCUGCACUUUUAUACAAACGAGAGGUCUGCCAGCGAUUUAUACAAAUCUGAUGCUCUGUAGCAAACAUAACAUACAAAUAUGUUAUGGAGCGCAAUUAUGCAAACUAUAGCUAUAACAUAUAAAUAUGAUUUUUAUGUUUGCUAAACCUAAAAUUUUUUUUUUUUUGAUAACCGAGAAAUCCGUCUGUGACCCGCCCUUUGGACCAAUCACAACCUUCUAAACUCUCAGGAUUGCUAAACCUAAAAUUUUAGUUACCGUAAUUUGAAAUUAUGAGAUGAAAUUAAUAUUUAUAUAUGUUAUUUUGAUAGAAUCUCAAAUUCUCUAAAGCCUUUAUUUAAGAAGAUAUGAUUUUACAUUUUUCAAAUAUAAAAACGGUGAAUACAUGGAUAAUAUAUUAUUAUUUAUGAGUUAUAGACUUAUAGUAUAUCUUUUACUCUUACAUAAAUUAGUCUUAUUCUUCUUGCCAAAAAUAACUAAAUACAUAUAUAAUAGUCUCUCAAUCUAUUCUUAUUAUCAGAAAUAGGUAAAUACAUAUUUAGUAGACUCCCACUUUUUUUUUGUUAGUCCAUCUUUCUCUCUCCAUCCUUUCUUCUCUUUUUCUUAUGUCUCCCUCUCUCUUUAACUUUUUUUUUUUUAAAAAAACAAUUAUUUUAGUUUAAGAUUUGGUUUUGAAUUGAUAUUAUUAUAAAUAAUUUUAACAAACACAUUAUUCCAAAAUUAAAGCUUAAUAUCAACACUAGAUGGACACAAAUCGAUCUUGCAAGAAAAUCAAUUUUGUCAUCAAUAGGAUCAACUAAUGUUGGUACUUAUGCUUAACAAACACAUUAUUCCUAAAUUAAAGCUUUAGUAUGAACACUAGAUGGACACAAAUCAAUCUUGCAAGAAAAAUCAAUUUUGUUAUCAAUAGGAUCAACUAGUGUUGGUACUUAUGCUUAACAAACACAUUAUUCCUAAAUUAAAGCUUAAUAGCAACACUAGAUGGACACAAAUCGAUCUUGCAAGAAAAUCAAUUUUGUCAUCAAUAGGAUCAACUAGUGUUGGUACUUAUGCUUAACAAACACAUUAUUCCUAAAUUAAAGCUUAAUAGCAACACUAGAUGGACACAAAUCGAUCUUGCAAGAAAAUCAAUUUUGUCAUCAAUAGGAUCAACUAGUGUUGAUAUUUAUGCUUAACAAAUAUAUUAUUUCUAAAUUUAAAGCUAAGUGUCAACACUAGAUGGACACAAAUCGAUCUUGCAAGAAAAUCAAUUUUGUCAUCAAUAGGAUCAACUAGUGUUGGUACUUAUGCUUAACAAACACAUUAUUCCUAAAUUAAAGCUUAAUAGCACUUAACGCUAAGCCAACCCUUGAUGGACACAAACAAAUUAUCACAAAAUUAAAGUUAAGUAUCAAUACUAGAUGGACACAAACACAUUAUAGAAAACAAUUGUACUUGAACUUUAGAAAUUUAGAAGCACCAACCUUAUCUCCUACUUUGAUGAAAGAAGCAAUAUAGUCUUGUAUCAACUAUUUUAGAUGUUGAGCUUCCUCAGUUGCCUAGCACGAAAAGUUCAAAACUUAGUUAAAUAUAAACUUCAAAUAUCUAUGUGUGCAUGUUAGUGGUUUCCAUACUUCAAAGGUAAAAUGGUUUGACUUGAUGCUACUACUUCAUGCAGCCUUUCUAUUUUCAUAUGUGCAUACAUAUUGGCAGCAGUGACUGACUGUUCUUGCUUCUGCCUUGUUGACUUGAAUGGUUCUCCAAUAGGACAUGGCUAUUUAUACCUAAGCUCCACUUGUUAAUUCUAAGGUUUCCUGUUUGUUUUAUCCAGUGGUGUGUUUGUAUAUCUUUCAAACAAAGACGGUCUUUACGUAAAAUAAAUGCAGAAGAGUGCUCACUAACUUCCAUACAAUUGACUCUUGGGUAAGAUGACUGAUGAAUGUCACAAAUUACAUGGGAACAGUAUAUCUUCUUGUUUCCAUACAAAGAUUGUUGGAAUGAACUCUAUUGUUUCAGAGUGUCAGUUUCAUUUUGAGAUAAAGGCUCAAGUGAGUCAAGAGUUAGUUUUUCUCUUGAGAGUCUAGACUCCUAAUAAAUCUACAUUCACGGACAUUGUAUCUCCUUCCAUCCCAAGUUUGAUUAUCUAGUUUUGCCAGUAUCAUAUAACUAGAGCUUAAAUAAAUUUGAAUAGUUUUAGAGUUCUAAUAUUAGAGUUAUUUACAGACGUGUUCGAGAAAUUGUUGGACCAUGUAAACUUCAAUUUAGCUUUUAAGUACUGUUAUGUAUGUAUGAUGAUUAAUCAAAUACCUGGAUUACUAGAACUUCGCCGAAGAGGAGAGGAAUGGAGAUGCAAGGGUCUCGCUGGCUCGCAGUUGUUGUUGUCGUCUUCGAUGGGGUUCGCCGGUGAUUACCUUGCCUUCGCCGGAGUUGGCUGCUCGCUGGUCAGAGAAGCUGGAGCUGAUGUUUGUUGUUGUCGUCCUCACUGGAGCGGAGGAGAAGAGAGAAAGAGGCUCGCCUAGUCGGGGCUGUCCUCGCGCUGCUUCUGGACCGGCGCGGCCUUCGCUUGCUGGCGAGAAGAACGGAUCGGAGGCAGCGCCCGGUCGCCGGCUGAUUUUCGCGGCUGCUCGCUGGCCGGCGCCGUUCGCUGCUUCGCCUGAGCUGCUAAGACAAUAGAGGAGAGUGACAGAUAGGGGAGGAGGAGAUGAGAGGAAGAUGAAGAAAGAUGGAUGGCUUAGGUUUUUUUUUUUUUUUUGAUGACAAGGGAAUCCGCUGUCGGUAUCCUUUGGGUGCGCGCAGGGUAAAACCCCGCUCCUAUGCAAUAGCUCGCAAAUCACAUAGGAGAAGUAACCCGCACUAGGUAAGCCUGAUGCGACGAGCUCGACCCAAUAGGCAAAUCCCUUGCUUUCGCUGACAAGGGGUUUCGAACUUGAAACCUCCAAAAUGGAAGUCCCAAGCCCAAACCACUGGGCCACCCCGAAGGGUGAUGACUUAGGAUUUUGUUUUUGACAAAAUGGUCUGGUGGACCCUUAUACUUGACUCAGAUUGUAAACUGGACCCUUCUACUCUCUAAAGUUUUAACCAGACACUUCAACUCAAACAAAAUAGAAAUUUUAAACCUUAUGUCAAUCGGUGUUCCUCACUCGAUCUGACAUGGAUGACACAUCAUAUUCACGUCCAAAAAAAAAAGCCACAUCAUAUCCAUCUCAUUAAUUUAAUUGUCACAAUGCUAUUUUUAUAUAUUUAUUUUAUUAAACAAACAAUUACUUUAAAAAAAUAUUUUUCCCUUUGUUCUCAAGAACCCUAACCCAAAAGAAAGUUCAUUAACAUUUGACAGCCCCAUUUGAGCUUACAAUUUCAUCAAAAUUGAUAUUAGAAGAAAGCAACUAAACUUGACACCAAAAAGCUUGAAAUUGAAAAAAAAAAUCAAACUUGAAAAAAAGAAAGAUCAAGAAAUAUGAAAAUUUCAAAGUUGUAUCUAUGAUUUAAAAGAUAGAUGAAAAUUUGUUUUUUUAUUUUUUUAGAAGUUUUGCUUCUAAAGAGAUAAAAAGAAGCAAGUAGUAGCAGCAAAAAUCCUUCUUCAAUUUCAUUUUGAGCUUUCAAUUUGGAGAAGAUUUUUUUCUUUCGUUUCCAAUUAUUUUUGUUUUGGAUUUUUGAUGAACGUGUUGUGUUCAAUUGAAAAGUGAGGAAAAAUACGAUUUCAAGAAAAAAUAAUCGAUAAUAGAGAGGAUAUGGAUAUAGCAGUUGAGAGAUCUACUAUUUUCCAAAAAAGUGGGUGAGUGGGUUUGAAGAAGAAAGGGAUCUUCUUUUUUUUUUUUCUUUUUUUGCCUUUUUUUUUAAAGUAGGUAAAUUUAUUUUUUCUUUUUAUUUAAUUUUCUUAACUUUUUAAUUCAAUUCACGCUCAUGUUUCGCGUGUGUAACACACAUUUUUUCAACUCAGCUAAAUUAAUGCCACCUAAGGCUGGUCAAUGGUCAAAGGGACUUAAAAUUCUCUGUUUGUUUGAGUUGAAGUGUCCAGUUGAAACUUUGUGAAGUAGAAGGGUCCACUUUACAAUUCGAGUCAAGUAUAAGGGUCUACCAGACCCUUUUGCCUUUGUUUUUUUUGGUUUAAAAUAGAUAAGAAUGAAGAUCUGAUCUUAGCCUUUGGUUUGAAUGAUAUGGAUGAUCAAGAUUUGAUCGUAGUUGAUUUGGAUGAACGAAUGGCUGAGAUUAAAGGAUGGGGCUUUUGAGAAUUGAAUUGAAUCAGAUAGGCUAUAAUUGAAAAGUGUUGAAAGGUUAUAAUAAUUAAAAUAAGCAAAUGGCCAUAAUUGACAUGAAAUUGAAUAUGAAAGGCUGGAGUUGAAAUGGAAUCGGAUUGGAAGAGGGCUAUGAAUUAAACAAAUUGAACAAGAGAGGUUAUGAUUUAAAUGAUUUAAGGGGAGAUUAAGGAAAUGUUAGUCAAUUAAGAAAAUACUACAUAUAUUAAAGUAAUUUCAUAUAGAUUAAACACACCUAAAUUUAAAAACAUUUAAAUAAAGUAGUUAUUUCGAGUUUAACUAUCGAUAAAUAUAAUAAUUUAAUAAUAAUAAAAAUAAUUUAAUAAUAAUAAUUGAUAAUUUUGUAAAUUAGCGAUACUAUAAUACAUAAUUUUAGACAAAAUCGCUAAUUAUAUAAAUUUAAUUUUAUUGAUCAACAAAAGUUUAUCAAUAUCAAAUUUAAUAUAUCAAUCUCCUCAAAUUGAUCAUCGGUAUUUCUUUAAUAGAUAAUAUAUUUCAUAACUGGAACAUUAAUAUAUAAGACUUGGUUUGUUAAACUACUCGACGAGUAUAUAAUCAACAUAUUUCAUACUUGGAUGAAUUAUCUUUUACAUGUCAUUGCCUACGGUGUGAUCACUACACUUGACAUUCAUUCAAGAUCGAACGUAAAAAACUUGAUAGAACUUGCUUUGUACAGUACUUUACGAUGUUCUAUUGUCUAUUUCACGAGAUAAGAUAUUGAAGGUUAUACGUACAAAUAAUUAAACAAUUAAUUAUAAAUAUAAAAUUUAAUUAAUUGUUAUCCUGACAUGAUUUCUACGAGUAUCAUCUCGCAUUUCAUACUCGGAAAAUUAUAUGUUAGUUCUUUACCUCUACAUCAUUACAUGAGAUAUUAAGUUCAUGAUCUGACGACAGACUAAUGGAAUUUGUACAUUACUCUAGAAAUAUAAGUAUAAUUAUCUCCUAAUUCAUAUCAACGUAGUUUCAUACUCUAAAUAUGGAUUAUUGAUGUUUUUUUGUUUAUUCCACGAAUUCUAACUUUUUAUUUAUAAAAGUAUACAAAAUUGUUAUACUUUUUAAAACAAUUAAUUGUACGUAUAACCCUAAUCUCAUAAAUACGAUAAUUUUAUUUAUCAUGUCUUUGUCAUUUUUACACCUUAAUCUCAAGUUCUACUCCCGGAUUUCUGAAAAGAUCUCUAUUUUUUCCUUAAUGAUCUUUGUGACUACUUUUUCCAAUGGAGUAUUAAUGGCAAAGGCUAAAGAUGUAAUGACCUAGUUGGUAAUUUUUGGAAAGUUUUAUAAAUUCAUCAUUUUCUCCUCCCGAGAUCGAUCCCGAGUCUUUUAUGUUUGAGUUUGAAAAAAUUACUCUCGAACUUUGAGUUAAAAGUUGAGAAUUUGGCAAGUUUUGAGUUUGAAAGGCUAUGUUAUUAAGAAAGUGAUUUUUGGUGUCUUUUGGAGUUUCAAGUGUCAUAAUGGAAUUCAGUCCAUUCCAUUAGUCUCGAAAUGUGAAAUUUUGGCUAUGAAAGUUGUCUGUUUCAGAUUCUGAGUCUUUUUUGAGGAUGUGAGAUUCUAAGUUGUGAAAUUGUGGAAUUUUAGCCUUUGGGUUGACUUUAGUCAAUAUUCAAGGUUUGAAUACUCAGAUUGGAAUUAUGAGAAUUCCUUUAGAUUCGGGGGAUAAUUUUAGGCCUGGUGCGGUCUUGGUUGAUUUUUGAGAAGUCUCGAGUUUGUUUUAACCUUUUUAGGCGUGAGUUAGUUUCUUAUGGUUUUCACAGAUGUCAGAUCAAGGAGAUCUCAGAUUUUUAUUUUGACUGUUCCAUUGAGUCCGGAACAUUGAACAUAAUUGAUCUGCAUAUGUGGUUGUAUGUAUGGGGUUCCGAAUGAAUCCCAAGGGUCCUUUCGAGGUUUAGAGUGUUGGCUAAUUUUUUGAUGUCUUUGUUCUGGUUCACUCCGCUUUCGCGAGAGAUGGCUCGCUCUUGCGGGACUCUCUUUAGCGAGGUUUGGGCCGCUUUUGUGAAGGGUCAACCCCUGUAGACCUUCGAAUUUGCGAAGAACUUCCGCUUAAGCUACCUCUGCAUUAACGAAGGUCAGAUCGCUUAAGCGAGACUUGAGCUUUUAGCUAAGCGAACCCCUGGUCACUUAAGCGACACCUGGGAGGAUUUUCGCCUGCCAUUUUUUAGGUUUAUUCCCCAUUUUCCAUUUAUGAGCUUGGAACCCUUGGAGGUGAUUUGUGAAAGAUCUUCUUGUGCUAAAUCGUUUGGGUAAGCUUUUAUAAUCCUAAAACUUUAUUUCCCUUUAUUUAUUUAUGGAUUCUAACAUCAUAGUUUGGGAUUUGAAUUGAAAAAUGACAAGGUUUUGCAAGAACUUGAGUUUUGAUCUAAAAUAGUGAUUUUGAUCUCUUUUUCGAAAUGGUUUUCACUAAUGAGUUCCUAUACCUUUAAACAUCAUUUUCAAGUAUUGUUUUCUGGAUUUUAACCCCCUUUUUGAAAUUGAGUUUUGAGUUGAUUGACCCAUUUCUCUAUAUAAUUGGUGUGGGAAUUGUUGUCUCUGAUGAGUGAUUGUGAAUACUUGAUUGUUAUAGAUUGUGUGGCUUUGGAAUUGAUUCGGAAGGGGAAGACUCAACUCUUAGGGUGAUAUUUGAUUGAUUUAAGGCAAAUGAUCUCUUAAGUUUUGUAAUCUAGUAGAAUGGUUUACUUUUCUUCAUUGUAUGUCCGUUAGGGAGUAAUCGGGAUUCAGGUGAAGGUUCUUAUUGCUCCACUUGAUUAAUGUUAAUAAAUAAUGAAGGGAUAAAUGAAAAGGCUUCGUGAUGAUAACGACAAUCUGUGAAUUGACUUGUUGUGAUCCUAUUUGAUUGAUGUGAUUAAAUGCCUUGAUGGCUUGAAUGUGGAGUUGAAUUACAUGACUUGUUGUUUCUUCGGAUGGUGUGAUAUUGCUUGAGUGCAUUGAUUGUUGAACGCUGUGAUGAGACAUGAGAUUGUUAUGAUGUCGAGGUCUUUACCGAUGAUUGAUAUUAAACCGAUGGGAAAUGGUUCUGGCUAGUGAUUGUUAUAAAACCGAUGGGAAAUAGUUCCAGCUAAUGAUUUGAUAUAAAUUCGAUGGGAAAUGAUUCUGGCUAGUGAUUUGAUAUAAAGUCGAUGUGAACUGGUAUUGGAUAGUGAUAGUAUGCAGAUGGGAAAUGGUUUUGGCAAGAGAUUGAUUCUUGUGAUUUGAUGCAUUUAUAUGCUUGUGUGUGGCUUACUUGUUACUUCUGAUUAAUGUACUAGUUUCCUGUGAUCGAUCUACUUGACAUUGAGCUUGAUUUACGUGAUACAUGUUGGUUGUUGACUUGUGACUUUGGACUAUGAAUAUUGAGCCUUGUGAACGGUUUAUUAUAGAACUGUUAGGUUAGGCUAUUUUCUGUGUAGGUAAGUUUGAUGAGGUUUGGUUGAGAUAGAAAAGAGUAGUCGAAUUCUGGCUAGGUUUCCUUGUUUAUUAAGUUGCUUGCUGGGUAUCGUGUUUUGGUACGCACUCCUUGCUUCUACACUUGUGUAGGUACCGAGCCCGGUAUAGCGUGAUCACUUUUUUUAGACUCGUUAAAAGACUUGAGAGUUUGCUGCUUGUCCACCUGGGGGCCCUCCUUUUCUUUUCUUUAAGCUUUUUAUUAUUUAAGAAACAAAGAUAGACUUGUACUUAUUUCUUAAUUCCGCACUUUAUGUAUUUAGUGUCUUGUACACGUGACUACCCGAUUUUUGGGGUAUUGUUUAGAAUGAAUAAGUUUUCCGCAUUUGUCUUGUUCUUGCUUUACUAUUUUCCGCAUUGCUUAUGCUUUAUUGUUUUCCGCAUUCUUUUCGUUUAUCGUUGUGUUUGAGGCUGACUUAUCUUGGUGGGAACAUACAAGUGUCACCACGUCCAUUUUUGGGUUGUGAUAGAAUAAAUUCUUCCAACUCAUGCCUCUCAAGAUCUUCGAUGUCGCCAUCUUCAUACUUCACCCUGAACCAACCAGUUUCCUUAUCAAAUUUUAGUAACUUUCCAUUGUAAUACAUGUCCCAAAUAACUAGUGAACUUCUCUUCCUUCGAACCAUUGACCAAAAUCAAUAUUCUUAUGUGAUUGUGCUCUAGUAACUAUGGGGCAAGGUAAAAAGAUAUCAUCAUUUGAAGAAAUGGGCGGCAACCCGUUAAUAACUACAGUUGGCUCUCCAGGUAUCUCUAACACUCCACGUGCUAAAGACUUGUCCACGUUAUUUUCUUUACACGAAAAAUUCAUUUCCAGUAGACCUUCUAAUCAACCCUAUUAAUAGAUGACCAAAUUUUUGUUAUACAAUGGAGCUUCCUAUUGGAGACUAACGUAAAAAAGCAAAAUUGUGUUAGCCUUAGGAGUAUGUAUUGCAUUAGAAGUGUAAGCGUUGUUAUGUACUACUAGUAAGAGUAGUAGAAUUCAAGUAGAACUCCCAUUUAUUGUAGCCUGCCAACAACCUAUAUAAGGAGGUAUUGUGCAGUAGUUUUGUAUACAAAAUAUAUCAAUAAUAUUGAGCUCUUGUUUUCCUUUAUGUACUGUGUUUUCUACAUGGUAUCAGAGCAGUAAAAAAAAUGAAACCUACAAAAAUCUCGUAACAAUGGCCCCAAACACAACUUUCAUGUCCUUGUCAACUUCGUCUCUGCAUCAUCUUAUUGUUGCUUGUCCAUUCAAGCUUAAGCCUACUAACUACUUGAUAUGGAGAACUCAGAUCAUGCAGCUUAUGCAGGUCAUGAAAGUAACCAACUUGAUCAAAGGAGAGAGACAAUCAAGUACCACAUACGGGAAGGAAAAAAUUAUUGAAGGCAAGGAAAAAGAAGAUUUGGAGACUCUUUGGGAAGAGAAAGAUGUGUGGUUGAGAACAUGGAUUUCAGGGAAUAUGACUGAGGAGAGCAUGUACCUCACUGUCGGUUGUUCGAUAGAACAAGAGAUGUGGGAAUGCUUAGAAGAAAUAUAUCUUCAAGCAACUAUAAACAAGGAAUUUCAACUCAAACAACAACUCUAGAACAUCAAGUUGGGAGCCAAAAAACUUGAUGAGUAUCUAAAAGAGUUCAAAGGAAUAUGUGCAGCCAUUCAGAAACCUGUUGAUGAGGAUAGCAAAGUAAUCAACUUUGCUCGAGGUCUAAACCUUAAAUAUAGGACCUUCAGGACUGUUAUGCUUGGAAAGGCACCAUAUCCCACACUCAACCAGUUUGUCAAUUCUCUUAGAGGUUUUGACAUGAGAAAAGAUGAUGAGGAAGUGCCACAAGAGAAUCAUAACAUGACCUUCUCUGCACAAAGAGACAGAGGUAGAGGUAGAUAGCUAUAAUCACAAUCAGAAUAGAGGUAACUCUAACUACAACUCAAGGGGAAGAGGUUUCAGACCUGCUGGAUAGGGAAGCAAUAGUCAAAAUAAUCAGACUAUGCAAGCUUCAUGGGACAAGGACUUAGUCUCCAAUGCUUGCCAAAUAUGUGGAAGGAAUAACCACACUGCAAUCAAGUUUCUAUAAAUGGGACUACUCAUAUCAAGUUGUAGAAGACCUCCCACAAGCCUUAGCAACAGUCAGUUUUCAAGAUACACAGGCUGAGGACAAUGCCACGUAUGUUGACUUUGGAGCAACCAACCACCUGACUAACAACAAAGGUAACUUAUCUGAUCUUAAGACUUAUAAUGGAACUGAUAAGAUAUCUGUUGGUAAUGGGUCUCGUCUAUACAUUACACAUGUUGGGAAUACAACAAGGUCAGGUCUGAAGGUUAACGAGAUAUUAGUAGUUCAUGAUAUUAAUAAAAAUUUAUUAUCCGUUAGCAAGCUAGCAAAAGAUAAUUGUUGCACCCUUGAGUUUGAUGAAUCUGAUUUGGUUGUUAAGGACAAGAAGUCACGGAAGCAGCUGGUCAAAAGAACUAAGAAAAGAGGACUCUAUGUACUGGAAGAUAACAAUAUUUAUGCUUUAACAGCAAUCUGGACUGGGGAAAGACAGAUUGCAUUUGGCAUGCUAGAUUAUGUCAUCCAAAUUUGAAGUCUUUACUAUUUUUGAAAAGAAAUAACCAUAUAGAUGUUAAGAGUUGGAAUAAAGUGCUUAAUGAUGAGUCCUGGAUUUGGACUCAUUUAGGGCUUUGUUUAUAUAGAUUUAGUGUCCUCAAAUGCUUAAUUUGUGCCAAUAACUGAUGUUGAAUCCUUGAUUUUCAUGUAUAUGGAUUGAGGAAUAAAGUAAGAUCACUAACAGACAAAAAGGAACGAAACAAGCUGAAGAAAUGAAGAAGGGCGAGCCUGAGGAUCGCCAAGAGCACUCAGCGUGUCGCCGAGUGGCUCAUCUGACCGCCUAAAGUUCCAGUGUGCCAAGCCCCGAAAGAAAGAACCAAGUCGGCGACGAAAAGGAGCAGUCGGCGGAUCGCCGAGUAGUUCCGCGAAGCUAAGAUAGAUCGCCCAAAGUUACAGACCUUGAGGAUGCUGAAUGCCAAGGCGAAAAGGCGAUGGAAGAGAUCAAAGGGCGGGUCGCCGAGUGGUUCGGCGAGUCCGACUUACUUCACCUAAUGGACUUUCAUAGUUUAAUUUCGGCGACUAUAAAUAUGUUUUUGAACAUUUAGUUUAGGAGGAUGGAUUAUCUUUGAACAAUCUUGAACAAUUUUUUAUCAUCUGGAGACAGUUUUCUCUAGAGUUUACCUUAGCUUUGAAGGAUUUGAAGAAAUUCACUUUUUAGAAAUUGGAAGUGGGUCUUUGAGAUUCAUCAAAUUGGAGAAUUGUAAAGACGAAAUUACCCUUACCCAGUUGAUGGAUAAUCAAUUUGGUAACUCUUUUACCUUUUAUAAUGUCUAGCUAAAACCCCAAUUCUUGGGGUGUGAUCAUGUGAUUAUGGGCCGAUUUAGUUUAUGAUUAUUGCUAAUUAUUAGUUUAAAUGUUGUUUAAAAGCGAGUUUAAUCAUUAAUUGUGGUUUAAUUUAAGAAUUGUAGUUGUAAAUGCAGUUCUAUGUUUGUAUUCUUAGCUUGCUCGAGAGAGAGGUUUUAGAACUAAGAUUAUUGAUUGAUGGUUUGUGGGUAUUGGGUUGACAUGGGUUUAGCUCGAGAGAGUGAAUCCUAAACCCAAUCCCACACAUUCAGCUCGAGAGAGUGAAUGGAUUAAGGUGUGGGUUGCUCCUAAUUAUAUUGUUUGUUGAUGUACGAAAGAAAUCACCUGAUUCGGGGUAAUUGUUCGAGAGAAAAUUACCUUCAUUAUAGUCUAGCGUACGCACUAAUAUCUAGCUAUUUACUAAUAGCUGCAAUUACUCAUAUGUCUAUAUUUGCCUAUAACCGAUCACUUUCCAAGAACUCAUCUCCUUAUUGUUAAUUCAUAGCGGUUGUGACUGUUUGUAGUUGAUAACUAAAACCAAACCCCCCUCCCAUUUGACAUUCGUGUCACCCUUUAAUUUUAAUGAUGUCUUUAUUUGAUAAUGUUUAUUCCUAUGGCUGAUUUGGCCACAUUUAUACUUUCCAAUCGAAUUUGAAACACGUUCCGCUCCUUAUGGGAUUCGACCCCAACUCAUUUAGUUAGGUUUUAUACUGAUUUACGAUCGCUGACACCUAGAAUUGGAUGAGGUGUUCUUGAAAUGUUAAAUCAAAAUGGCGCCGCUGCCGGGGAGUGGUGUUGUUUGAAAUUCUUUUAGUGAAGUUGAAUUUUGUUCUUUUUAGUUAUAGUUGAAUCCACUUAUUUUUGUUUUUGGUCUUUGUGUUGCUUGUUGAACAGAGGAAAUGAGUGUAAAUGGUAGCAAUGGUAACCAAGUGGGCCACCCUCAUUCGAAGAUGAUGAUUCUUAGGGAUAACAUCCUAGAUUUCGAGCAUUUGGAGGGUGAGACAAUCCAUGAGAUGUGGUUGAGAUUUAGAAAUUAUUGUGGCAGUGCCCAACUCAUGGAAUCCCAGAUAGGAUGUUGCUGGAAUGUUUCUAUAGAGGUCUUGAUUUGGUGAACAAAGGGGUGAUUGAUCAGCUUUCUCCGGGUGGUAUAAUGCGACAACCCUAUGCAAAUAGCAUCCCAACUCCUUGAUCGCAUGACCAAGAUCAACAAAGAUCAAGAUAAGAACCAGAACUUAGCCAAAAUGAUGACCGAACUAGAUAUCUUGGCCAAACAUAUCGAGGAAUUUGAAGUGCUGUACAAAAACGAAUUAAACUUCCUAGCAAAUCAAGGAGGAAGUCAAUGUGAAAAUUACUCAAGGCCAUGUGGCAACCAAAGAUGUAAUAGAAGGGGGAAGGAGGAUAGACACGUUCCUCCCCAUAAGCGCCCAAAAGCCCAAGGAUUACGAGGGCGGUCAAAUAGAAGAUAUACUCUUCCGUGUUCUCAACAAAGUCGAAGGAUAUGAAGGAUAUGACAGAGUAUUGUAAGAGAUAAGAGAGAAUGUCUCAACUCUCAAUCAGAUGGUGACCUCUCAUUCCAUCUUGAUCAAGCAAUUAGAGACACAGAUGGAUCAAAUUUCUGCACAUCUUAACUCAAGAUAACAAGGGGGGUUUCCUAGUGAUACUAUGGCAAAUCCCAAGAGUGAAGCUUGAAUGGGUACUUGCGUUAUGCCACGACGUUAACUAAGGCGCUUCUUGAGAGGUAACCUAAGUUUUUAAUGCUAUGUAUUUAUUUUUAGAAUAACGGGUAUUGAAUGUGCAGGUUGAAAAGUGGAAUGUGUUUGAGAAUGCGCAGGUUGGCGAGCCAAGAGUCCAGUCAGCAAUUCGCCAAAGAGGUCGGCGAGCCCAACUUGGACCACCGUUGGACCCACAAAAAAAUCACAUGUGGGAGUAUGUAAAACUCAGCGGGCCUAUGGAUGAUUCGGCGACUCGCCGAACAGGUCGGCGAGCCCGAUUUUGUCCGCCGUUUGGACCCCCAAGUUGACUAGAGGUCCUGUAAAACUCGGUGAGGUAAGUCACCACUCGGCACAUCGUCGAGUAGUUUAGCGAGGUCGACUAAUACCACCGAAAGGGCCGCGAACUGAAAGGUUUUAAAAGGCCAAACAGUUCAAAUUUUCAAAAUCUUUCAUAUUCCCUCAUUUUAGCCUCGUACACUUUCACCCACACUUUAGAUUUUACAUAUUUUCCCAUUUUUGUUGCUUUUCAUGUGGAUCUCGUGCUCGAAGUUGGACUACAUUGCCGCCUAACAUUUCAAACUCUUAUUUCGACUUAAAGGUUGGUUUUCCAAACCCCGAAUUCUUGAUUUGUAGUUGAGCUCGAAUGCAUUUGGUAAAUUGUUGUUGUUGUGUGUUGGGCCUGUGUGAAAUCGUAGUUGUUGUGUUAAUUUGCCCACCGUAGUUUCGUAAUUGUGCUUAAAUUGCUUAAAAUGAUUAUUUCCCAAGUUUUGUGCUUUAAAAUUGAUCAUAAAUUGUUGAGUUGCGGUAAAUAUUUGUUGGGUCUAGUUGGGCGAAGUCUAAGUAACCCCCAAUUGUGUUAAAUGACAUACUUUACCCAAUGAUGGAGCAUUUGACGUCAUUCUUAAAGGCAAAAGUCGUCAAAUGGCCAAUUUUAGCCAAACUAGGGGAAGUCUGAGUUCCCCGAAGGCAUGGGUCAACUGGGUAUAAGGUUAAUUGAAUAAGUGUGUUGUUUGAUUUUGAUUUCGGAGGCUGUGGGCCUGAAUUUGGGAAACGGGGUUGACAUUUGGCACGUUGGGCAGUUUGGCGAGCUUGGUCGAGCUCGUCGAACCAUUUGGCAGUUCGCCAAUGUCCCCCUUGAUUGCCUUUAAUUUCAUGAUUUGGAUUAGUUUGAGUUUGUAACUUUCGACGGGAAGCCUGAGCUCGCCGAAAUAUCCCUUGAUCUCCCUUUCUGUGCCCCUAACCCCUAAAAACAUGCUAUAAAAUUUGGCUGGCUAGGCUGAGCUCGCCGAGUGAUGUCGGCGGUUCACCGAAGGGACCUUCACUUCGCCUAAAGUUCCAAUGUGCCAAGCCCUGAAAAAAAGAACCAAGUCGGCGAUGAAAGUGAGUAGUCGGUGGAUCACCAAGUAGUUCCACGAAGCCAAGAUAGAUCGCCCAAAGUUAUAGACCUUAAGGAUGUUGAAUGACAAGGCGAAAAGGCGAUGGAAGAGAUCAAAGGGCGGCUUGCCGAGUGGUUCGGCGAGCCCGACUUACUUGGCCGAAUGGGCUUUUGUAGCUUAUUUUUGGCGACUAUAAAUAAGUUUUUGAACAUUUAGUUUAGGAGGAUAGAUUAUCUUUGAACAAUCUUGAACAAUUUUUUAUCAUCUGGAGACAGUUUUCUCUAGAGUUUACCUUAGCUUUGAAGGAUUGAAGAAAUUUACUUUUGAGAAAUUAGAAGUGGUUUUUUGAGAUUCAUCAAAUUAGAGCAUUGUAAAGACGAAAUCACUCUUACCCAGUUGAUGGAUAAUCAAUUUGGUAACCGUUUUUACCUUUUUAUAAUGUCUAGCUAAAACCCCAAUUCUUGGGGUGUGAUCAUGUGAUUAUGGGCUGAUUUAGUUUAUGGGUAUUGUUAAUUAUUAGUUUAAAUGCUGUUUAAAAGUGACUUUAAUCAUUAAUUGUUGUUUAAUUUAAGAAUUGUAGUUGCAAAUGCAGUUCUAUGUUUGUGUUCUUGGGUUGCUCGAGAGAGAGGUUUUAGAACUAAGAUUAUUAAUUUAUGGUUUGUCGAUAUUGGGUUGACAUGGGUUUAGCUCGAGAGAGUGAAUCCUAAACCCAAUCCCAUACAUUUUACUUGAGAGAGUGAAUGGAUUAAGGUGUGGGCUGCUUCUAAUUGUAUUGCUUGUUGAUGUUCGAAAGAAAUCACCUGAUUCGGGGUAAUUGUUCGAGAGAAAAUUAUCUCCAUUAUAGUCUAGCCUACUCACUAAUAUGUAGCUAUUUACUAGUAGUUGUAAUUACCCAUAUGUCUAUAUUUACCUAUAAGCGAUCACAUCCCAAGAACUCAUCUCCUUAUUGUUAAUUCUUAGCGGUAGUGACUAUUUGUAGUUGAUAACUAAAACCAACACCCCCCAUAAGUCACCCUUUAAUCUGAAUGAUGUCUUUAUUCGAUAAUGUUUAUUCCUAUGGCUGAUUUGACCACAUUUAUACUUCUUAAUCAAAUCUGAAACACGUACCGCUCCUUGUGGGAUUCGACCCCAACUCAUUUAGUUGGGUUUUAUACUGAUUUACGAUCAUUGACACCUAGAAUUAGACGAGGUGUGCUUGAAACGUUAAAUCACCUACCAUUUGUACUAGCUGCCAGCUAGGGAAAAGUUGUAAGCUUCCUUUUGCAUUGAGAAAUAAAAUUGAGAAGGAACCAUUAUUAAAAAUUCAUUGUGAUCUUUGGGGUCCAGAAUCUUAUCAACACAUGAAGUACUAUGUAUUGUUUAUGGAUGAUAAUACUAGAUACACCUGGUUGUAUCCAAUAAAAAGAAGUCUGAGUUUUUUGAGAUUUUCUUGCCCCCCUACUCUCAUCAAAGAAAGUUAAUAACAUCACUUAUCUAUCAUGAAACAAGUGCCCUAACAUGAAGAAAUAGUCCACAUACUCAAUUCAAAAGAUUGAAUAUAAAUUAAGGACUUAGCAUCAAGAACAACUCUCAUACUCAGAAAUAAAAUUCACAUGUAUGCACAAAGAAUCAUAGGCUUGCCCAUUAUGUACAUCUCCACUAAUUAAGCAUGCUUGAAUAGAAUCAAAUAGGAUUUUAACGGAUUGUAAUGUAGGCUAAGGGACGGGUAGGAAAACUAUAUAAUAGUGACUUAUACUUCCUUAAACACUUUGCCCUUUAACACUUUAUCACCAAUUAUUUUCUUCUCUUUAUUUUCAGCCCUCUCUUCAACAAUUAUUUCACAAGUAAUGCUCAUCAUCACAAGAAUGCUUCAAUCUUUUUUUUAAAUUUUUUUUGAGAGGUUUUGCACUAGCCACCCUCAGCUCAAGGCUUUGAGGCUCAAGUGAGGUACACAAUAUCCUUGGUAGGACUAUGGCCAAUGUUUUAAGUAUACUUCUGAAUUAGCCACCCUCAACUUAAAUUUUUAAGCUUAAUUGAGGUGCAUAAUAUCCACAAGGGACCAGGGCCAAAACAGAGUUUUCACACUUUUCUUCAUUCUUCACACACCAAGCAUUUUCACCCUUUUUCCAUUUCUACCAAUGUUUUCAACUUUUCUUCUCAACAUAGUGCAUUACGGAUUACAUUAGGAUCGAAUACUUAUGAUAUCAAUAGAAAAGGAUUCGGCUCAAUCAUGCGGUUUAAAGAAAAUUCAAGGUUGACAAGCUCAAUAAGGCUUUACUAGUGAUAUAAUAUCUGAAAAGGCUAAAAUUUACAAGACAAAUCAAAGAAAGCAUAUUAUCAUAUCCUAAACAAGGCAACACUUUUUAUUUCGCUUCAAUAACAUGUAGGGCAAGUUCUAGACUAAGAUGCAAAACAUGGAAUAAACAAAUUCUCUCCACACAUGGCACAAGUAUCAAUCAAGAUAGAUCAAUUCCACUUCUAAGAGAGACAUGAUCAUAACAAACUACAAAAUAAUAUAAGCUAUAUACAAAGUCACAACCAUGAGCUUAGGUGUCGAAGAGUCUGCAAUUUCCUUAUCAAUCAAGCAUUCAUAAGAAAGUACUACUAAAAAUUUAGGCCUAAAUAGCAAGUAUCACACCACUCAAGAGGGUCUUUUCUUUUCUAUAAAAAAAAUAAUCAAAAGAAAACUUAUUCCUAAAAAAUAAAAGACACUCGGUUCAAAGGGACUAUCUUUAGGAAAAGAACCGAAAACAAAAGCCAAGGAACCCAUCCUAAAAAAAAGAAAAGACUCAAUAAAACAGUAAAAACUAGGAAUUCAUUCCUCCACCCCACACUUAAAAAGAUGCUAUGUCCCCAAAACAUUAAAUAAAAUUUAAAACAAGGGUUAGGAAAACUCCCCUAAGGCCUUUAGGCCUAGCUAGUAGCAUGUUCUCUUAAUUUUCAUCAAGGGUCGUCACCCACACUUAAGCUCAAACAUGCUCAUUUGCUUCAAUUUUUUUUGGGUGCUAAGACUUCCCCUAAUCUGCAAAAACAAGACCAAAGGAAAAAAAAGUGAUACUAAUAAAAUAAAAUAAGAAUUUACACUACUAAUUGAGUUGCCUCCCAAUAAGCGCUUAAUUUAACGUCGCGGCACGAAACCAUCAAUUUUACUAUUUUUCCUUCCACUUUGAAGAUAUGAAUUGCAUCCCUAAUUUUACAUAAAUUUUUCUAUUAUGCUCAAGGGGUGGUGGUACAAAAAUAAAGGUCCCAAACAAUAGAGAUCGCAUUAUGCACUUCUUGGAUCCUAAGUGAGGAAUGUAAUUCUCCGAUAUUGGAACAAUAAAUUCAAGAAUAUAGACACAUUGUUCCUCCCCCAUACACUCUAGGCUCAGAUGACUCGAUUAAUAUUUCAUCAUCUAAACAUACUGUGGAAAAAUGAUUGAAAUGAGGUCUAGUGCGCCCUAACUUAUGAAUUAUAUUAUUAUUUACACCCUCAUAUUUACACAUACUAGAGUUUUUAAAAAAUAAUAUUAUUUACUUCAUUACAUAGCUCUAGUGCACUCUUCUCAACAGUGACAACAUNNNNNNNNNNNNNNNNNNNNNNNNNNNNNNNNNNNNNNNNNNNNNNNNNNNNNNNNNNNNNNNNNNNNNNNNNNNNNNNNNNNNNNNNNNNNNNNNNNNNNNNNNNNNNNNNNNNNNNNNNNNNNNNNNNNNNNNNNNNNNNNNNNNNNNNNNNNNNNNNNNNNNNNNNNNNNNNNNNNNNNNNNNNNNNNNNNNNNNNNNNNNNNNNNNNNNNNNNNNNNNNNNNNNNNNNNNNNNNNNNNNNNNNNNNNNNNNNNNNNNNNNNNNNNNNNNNNNNNNNNNNNNNNNNNNNNNNNNNNNNNNNNNNNNNNNNNNNNNNNNNNNNNNNNNNNNNNNNNNNNNNNNNNNNNNNNNNNNNNNNNNNNNNNNNNNNNNNNNNNNNNNNNNNNNNNNNNNNNNNNNNNNNNNNNNNNNNNNNNNNNNNNNNNNNNNNNNNNNNNNNNNNNNNNNNNNNNNNNNNNNNNNNNNNNNNNNNNNNNNNNNNNNNNNNNNNNNNNNNNNNNNNNNNNNNNNNNNNNNNNNNNNNNNNNUAACUUAUGAAUUAUUUUAUUAUUUACACCCUCAUAUUUACACAUACUAGAGUUUUUAAAAAUAAUAUUAUCUACUUCAUUACAUAACUCUAGUGUACUCUUCUCAACAAUGACAACAUCAAUAAAAGUAUGAUCAAGCAAUUGGCCCUCAACUUUUAGCUAUUCAAGUUGACUUAUAAGUAUCUUUUCUUCCUCACACAUAUUAUUACUAAAUUGUUGGGUGUUAUAUGAUUUAAUCUUUGCACUUAACUCACAAUCUAAUUAAUAGAGAUCAAAAUCAAAGAUAUCUUCAAGCAUGAGCUUACAUAUUGAUUUAUAGCAAAAUAUUCACAAAUCUUCCAUGUCCCCAUACAACUUAUCUUGUUGAGAAAAAAAUAUCCUAUAAGAAUCCAUAAUAUCAGAAGUACAAGAAUUGCAAGAACACUUAUCACUACAUACUUUUUCCGAUGCCAUCUCAAGAAGAGUAAAAUAAAUAUGAUAAUAAAAAAAAAAAAACUAAUUUAAAACUAAUCCUAAGAAACAAAAAAGGACUACAAGUCAAAAUAAAUACUAAAGACAAUUUCUAUGCCACAUUCCCCGGCAGCGGCGCCAUUCUUGGUAACGUCUAAAUAUACUUCUUGGAAAGAAAUAUAAACGGUCGUAUGCAAUAUAUUUACCCAACUAUGGGUUGGGGUCGAUCCCACAGAGAAUAUGGAAGAAUAUUGUCAAUAUCAAAUAUUUAACUCGAUAGUCGUUAUAUAAAAAAAAGGGUGUUUAAAUUGAAACAAAAAAAAAGAAUAAAAAUAGAUUUGAACUAAGUAUUUAUUUAUAUUCAGAUUAUUAGAAAUAACUAGGAAUGUAUUCCCCAUGAUUUCAUAAAAUAGCAAGAAUAUCGUACUAGUGAUCUAUUUCAAUUUUAGCAUGCAAGGUUAGUAGGUUAGGUAUCCCUAAGUGAUUGGUCCUCCAAAGAGGGAAUUUCACCCCGCACCUUGGUCUGGCUACGUGUGUAUACUUUACUAACCCUUACAUUUACCUCAGAUUAGACAUCACAUCAAUGUAUGACUUAGUUUUCACCCUCGCACCAAUUGACAUUAGACUAUUAGAUAGCAUCCACUAAAUCUCUAUUGUUUAAUUCUUUUCUCAUUAACUACCUCCUUGGUCCGGCAAGUAGCAACGAGGCGAGUUCUAACGUUGCGCACCGUUAAAAAGACUUCUAAACGAAAAAAUUAACAAUACAUGCAUAAAAAUCAUUCAAGAAUCACUUCGUACAUAAACUUACUUUAAUAAUUCAUCAUGGUUCCCGCAACUCUAGUUAUGAAAUUUAGCUACUCAUGAUCUCAUAAACACAAUCAAAAUUUAUUAAAAUAAAUAUGCUUGUGUUAAUCAUAAAAAUUAAGAACAAUAGCUAAACUAUCUUUUAUUAAUCACGAAUACAAAUAAAUAAUAAAGGAGAAAAAAGAAUAAACCACAAUUCUCCGGCCUCCACGACGGCUCUUCCAAAGUUCCUAAGCUAGAAGAAAAUUUAUAUUGUGUAUUGUUUGUUGGUUGUUGGCUUCCCAAACAAUAAUUUUUUAUCCCCUAUUUAUAGAUAGAGAAACCUUAAAUAAAAUAAUUGAGUUAAAGACAAAUUAGAAAAACAAAACCCAAUUAAAUUGGGUUUGCACUGUACACGUGAUUUCUCCAAAUUGUUGGCGGCAGAGGGGCGCCGGUCAGCUGACACGUGGCAGCAGCAAGCCUAAUUCAAAUUGAAUUGGCGUUCAAUUCUGCACCAUAUAUAGGAAUAUAUUAUUUUAAUAAAUUUAAACCAUUAAGCUGUCUGUUUGAUUUCCUUUUUCAAUAAUUCAUUUUAAUUUGUUUUAGCUCCAAACUUCUUCGUUUUUCCACCAAUUUAAUCCUACAAAUAAAAUAUACUAUUUAGCACCAUCCAUAAAAUUUAUGCUCAAAAGGACAAAUAUAAAUAAUAAAUGUGAGGCAAAUAAUGAUUAAAAAUAUAUAUUUUUGGCUUCACAUCAACCAUACCACAUCUCCACAAGAUGUUUCAGAAUUCUCAUGGCUUGUGCAUGACACUGGAUAAUGUGCUAUUACAUCGAUAAAAGCUAAAAGUACUCCAUGUAUCGUUUGACAUGCUCGGAGUUCUACAUAAAUACGAUAUUUUGUUUAACCUUACCUUUUUCAUUUUGACAUGCUCGGAGUUCUACAUAAAUGAUCUCUAUGUUUACUUCUUUCAAUGGAAUAUUAAUGUUCAAUGGCUGAAGAACUUCUUUCAACUCAUGCCACUUAAGAUCUUCGUUGUCGACAUAUUCAUACUUAACCCUGAACCAACCAGUUUUCUCGUCAUAUUUAGUAACUUUUCCAUUGUAAUACUUGUAUUCAAAUAACUUGAGAACUUCUCUUCCUUCAAACAAUUGACCAAAACCAUCAUUCUUAUGUGCUGCAUCAGUAACUAUUGGGCAUGGUAAAAAGGUGUCGGUAUUUGAAGAAAUGGGAGGCAACUCAUUAAUAACAACAAUCAUGUCUCCCAGAAUCUCAAACACUCCAAGUGGUAAAAACUCUUCUACAUCAUUUUCUUUGGAUGAAAAAUCCAUUCCAACAGUUCUUCUAAUCAACCCUAUGAUUAGAUGACCAAAUUUUUGUUAUACAAUUGAGAUUCACACUAACAAAUAACAAAAAUUUAAAUUGAAAGAUCAAUUACUAUGAAAAUAAUAGUCUCAACACUUGAUAUUGUUGUACUUCAGAUGCUUUUCAAAGAAAAACUAAAGGGAAAAAAGAACUAGUCUCAACAUUGUAAAACACUAUCAUGAAUAUGCUAGAUUCUGAGCAAUUUUCGCAAGUAUAUAACUAGUUGACAAUAAGUGAAGAAGUCUAACGUCAUGAGGAAAGAAUAUAUAUAAUAAUAAUACUCUCCAAUGACCUUGCAGGUUAAUUAAUUGAUUAGAAAUUUUUUUUCUUGUAUGUUGUUUUUAUAUAAAACUAAGAUUAUGCAUACAUAUAACAUGUGUUACAUAUUUUUGUGAAAAAUACCAAAAAUAAAACUAAUGAUAGUAGUUUCUUCUUAAUCUAGAAAAAAAGGAUUUAAAGCUGAAAAUACAUUCCUAAUUCUUUUCUCUUUAUCAUCCUUAUUUACUUGCAAAUUUGAGAGAAACUCUGAACUACCAAAGCAACACAAUAAAUGAAAAGAAAAAUUCAUAAUUUUACCUCAUUACACAUUGUAUCAUUACCAAAAGAAGAGAAAAUAUGGAGAAACAAUACUAUUAUAGUCACAAGAUACAUAACACUGCAGUUAUUCACAGGAAAACUAAACUCAUUGACAAAAUUAUCAGUAUUAAAUACUAUAAAUUUUUACUAUCAAGUUCACUUUGUACUAGGUGGGGUAUAGAUAGGGUAGGUGUAAGAAUACUUUACCCUAACUCAUGGAGGUAGAGAGGUUGUUUCCACAAGACCAUUGGCUCAAGUAGCUCAUAACAAAGACAUGAUAAAAAUGACAUAACGAUGCAAAACAAUCAUAACAAAUGAUAACAAAAUCAUCAAUUAACAUUUUAAAAAAGAAAUAGUUGCAACUUUAAAAUAAUGUGAUAACAAAAGCAAAAAACAACAGGUAUUAUCAGAAUUGAAGGGAAAUAAACUACGAGAUUAGUGUUUUUUCUUAAUGAUCUUUUUAACUACUUCUUCCAAUGGAAUAUUAAUGUCCAAUGGCUGAAGAACUUCUUUCAACUCAUGCCACUCAAGAUCUUCGUCGUCACCAUCUUCAUACUUCACACCCUGAACCAACCAGUUUCCUCGUUAAAUUUAGUUACUCUUCCAUUGUAAUACUUGUCCCCAAAUAACUUGUGAACUUCUCUUCCUUCAAACCAUUGACCAAAACCAACAAUUUUAUGUAAUUCUGUAUCAGUAACUACUAGACUGGGUAAAAAGGUGUCAGCAUUUGAAGAAAUGGGAGGCAACCUAUUAAUAACAACAGCCGGCUCUCCCGAUAUCUCAAACACUCCGGGUGGUAUACACCCUUCCACGUCAUUUUCUUUGCCUGAAAAAUCCAUUCCAGCUGUUCUUCUAAUCAACCCUAUGAAUAGAUGACCAAAUUUUUUUUAUACAAUUGACCUUCGCACUAACAAAUAACCAAAAUUUAAAUUCAAACAUCAAUUACUUUGAAAACAAUAGUCUCAACACUUGGCAAUUGUUGUAAUUCAGAUGCUUUUUAAAGAAAAACUAUAGGGAAAAAAAGAACUAGUCUCAACAUUUUAAAACACUAUCAUCAAUAUGCUAGAUUCUGAGCAACUUUGGCAAGUAUAUAACUAGUUGACAAUAAGUGAAGAAGUCUAACGUCAUAAGGAAACAAUACAUAUAAUAAGUACACUCUCCAAUGACCUUGCAGAUUAAUUUAUUGAUUAGAAAAGAAUUUCUAGUAUGUUAUUUUAAUAUAAAAAUAAGAUUAUGCACACGUUUGACACGUGUUACAUAUUUUUGUGAAAAAUACCAAAAUAAAAUUAAUGAUAAUAGUUUCUUCUUAGUCAAGAAAAAAAGAUUUAAAGGUGAAAAUAUAUUUAUAAUUCUUUUCUCUUUAUCAUUCUUAUUUACUUGCAAAUUUGAGAGAAACUCUGAACUAUCAAAGUCACAGUAAGUGAAAAGAAAAUUCAUAACUUUACCUCAUUACACGUUGUAUCAUUACCAAAACAAGAGAAAAUAUGGAGAAACAAUACUAGUAUGGUCGGCAAGAUACGUAAUAUUGUAGUUAUUCACAAGAAAGCUAAACUCCUUAACAAAAUUAUAGUAUUAAAUAUUAUAGUUUUUUACUAUCAAGGUCACUUUGUACUAGGUGGGGUAUGGGUAGGAUAGGUGUAAGCAUACUUUACCCUAACUCAUGGAGGUAGAGAGGUUGUUUCUAAAAAAACCAUUGGCUCAAGUAACUCAUAACAAAGACAUGAUAAAAAUGGCAUAAAGAUGCAAAUCAAUCAUAACAAAUAAUAACAAAAUCAUCAAUUAACAUUUACAAAAAGAAAUAAUUGCAACUUUAAGAUAAUGUGAUAACAAAAGUAAAGAACAACAGGUAUUGUCAGAAUUGAAGGGAAAGAAACUACGAUAUUAGUGCUAAUACUAUUGAAAUGCAUAAACACAACACUCGACUACUUACUAACCUUGUACCUAAUUUUUGACCUCAAAACCCCCAUAUGAGGUCCCUUCCGAGAUAUCAUAUAUAUAAGAAUAUCAGAUUUUCUAAAGCUACACUUUCUCCCACUCUUUUUAUUUAUAAUAUAAGUUUGAUUGUUAUAACAUAUAUAUUUCCCUGACCUCUUUAUGGUAUAAAUGAUCUCCAACUCAUUAAACGAUUCACUCUCUUUUAAACAAAAUAAAAACCUCUUGAGCAAAUAUAACAACCAAUACCAUGUCUUUUUAGCUGAACUAGAAGUUUGAAUCCUAAUAUAGCUUUUUAAGAGGAAGAUGAUAGAUUGAUUUGAAACAAUAAAGGAGAAGACAAGAAAGAGAAAAACAUACCCCAAAAAGUUCAGAACCAAUGGUGAUAGCUUAUAAUUUGAAUUAAAUUUGGGUGGGAAUUGAGGGAUUUAUCUAAGCCAAAGCCAACAAUCAAAGAUCGAGGUCUUUAAGAUUUCAUAUAUGAAGAGGGAGAGAGAGGGAAAUCCAUUAAUGGAGUUGAUAGGGCCGACGACUAGGUUCAUUUAGGGUUGUUUAGAUUGGAGGAAAUAGCAUUCUGUAGUGUAAAAUGAAGAGAAAAUUGAGAUUUAGAAAACGUAUAGACUUCUUAGUCUAGGAUUUAUGUAGGCCGUUGGAUGAGAUUGAUUGACAGACAUGAUUUGAUCCAGAAAAUAAAUGAUGAAAGAUAAUUAAAAAUGAUUAUAUUUAUGCAAGAAAUUGUUUAUGUAAAUUAUAAUAUCAAAAAAUUUCAAAAAUAUAUAUAGAUUCAACAACAAAGAAAUAAAUUGUGAUUAAUAAAGGUGAGCGAUACUAUAGAAAAUUAUCACUAUAAUUAUAGUUGUUAAAUUAUAAUGUCACGAUCUAAAAAUGGACGUGAAGACACUCGUCUAAUCCCACCAAGACAAGUCAGCUUCAUACCCAACAAUAUGAAAGAAAUGUCAAAAAUAAAUCGAUAAUAACAUAAGUGCGGAAAACUCAGCCAAUUUCAAAUACCACCAAAAUCUGAUUGUCACGUGUACAAGCCUCAAUGCAUACAAUAAGGAGUUGAAAGAUAAAUACAAGUCUCAUGACUUUGUUUCUCAAAUAGAAAAAAACAUAAAGUAAGGAACAAGAAGACCCGCCGGAAUGACAAGUAGCUACCUCUCAAAAUCCUACAAAAGCCUCAUAGAAAGAUGAAGGAGAAAGAUCACACAAGUCACUUGAUACUUCAAAAAUCUAAGUUCAUGAAAACCCUCAAUUUAUCACUUCAAAACCUUGAUUAAACACUUAUAACCAUAAACAAUAAUGAGUAAAUGAAGAUUUAAGAUUAGAAAUCAUUACCCAAAUAUUUCUUCUAAAAAACCUUGUUCAAAUCACCACACCAAAGCUCCCAAAACUUAAUAAUGGAGAAAUGGCGAUGAAACCCUAAAAUUUGGAAAACAUUUUUUCCAGGGGUCCUCCGCUAACGCGGACUUUAAUGAGGCCAGACCCUCCAUGAAUACAGGAGCCUCUCCAUGAAUGCAGGGACCCACUCAUAGGUCCCUAUGCAAAUGGCGCCAAGCUUCAUGAACACGGGGAACACAAGAUACAACAACAGAAAACCAGCCAAACUCACAUUCUCCGAAAGGAUUAUCGGGAUUUAUCCUGAACCCCAUACACACAAACCAAAUAUGCUACUCGACUGUAAUCAAUGUUCUGGGCACAAUGAAAUCAUAAAAAUACAAAUCCGAGGUAUCCUUAACCCAAAAUCUGUGAAAGUCACAAGAAACAAAUGUAACGCAUAAAAUGACCAAAUCAAGCUCGAGAUCUUUGAAAAAUCAACCAAGGUCUCUCCUAAACAUAAAAUCACCCCCCGAAUUCAAAGGAACUAUCGAAAAUCUGAUCUGAUUAUCCGAACCCCAAAUGUUUAGCAAAAUCAACCCAAAGGCUAAAAUUUUAUAAAUUUCCAACUUAGGACCUCAAUUCCACGAAAAGACUUUGAAUCUGAAAUCGGAAACUCUCUCAAACUAAUGGAAUCAACAAAAUUCUAUUCUAAGACUCGAAACUCCAAAAGACACUGAAAAUCACUUUUUAGCAACUUUAGCCUUUUAAAUUUCCAAAAUAUCCAUAACUUUUAACUCAAAACUCGAGACCAAUUUCAAAAUCCAGUUAGAAAUGACUUGGGUCCAAUAUCGAGAAGAGUAAAAUGGUAAUUUUAUAUAAAUUUCCAAAAAUGACCUUUCGGGUUAGUACAUUAUCCACUACGAAAAACUAUAUUUUUCCUCGAACAUAAAGUCAAAGAAAGUACCUGAAGCCUAAAAAAGCUAGGGAUAUCUAGCACGCAUGUCAAACUCCGUCUCCCUAGUCAUCUCACCAGCUGAACUAUCCUUCCACUACACCAUCACUAAAGCAAUCUCUUUGGUCCUAAACUUUUAGACCUACCAAUCCAAUAUGAAUAUAAGCUCUUCCUCAAAGGACAAAUUUGGACCCAACAUUACUGAAUCAAGCGAAAGCACAUGAGACUUAUCUGACACGUACUUCCGAAGCAUGAAGACAUAAAACAUAGGAUGCAUGGCUGUCAAUCUAGGUGGCAAGGCCAACUUAUAGGCCACCUUUCCUACACAACUCAAAAUCUCAAAAGUUCCACUGAAUCAGGGCUAAGGUUGCCUUUUUUCCCAAACCUUAUCACACCCUUCAUGGGUGACACUUGGAGUCAAACAUGAUCACCCUACAUAAACCCUAAGGCUCAAACUCUCCGGUCUACAUAACUCUUCUGUCAACUAUGGGUUGUCAAUAUGUUACCAUAAAUCAUACGGAUGUGUUCCAUGGCAUCUCUAAGCAAGUCUAUGUCUAAAGAGUCCAUCUCCGCCAAAUCAAACCAACCAAUUAAAGUUCUACAACACCUCAAAUAGGGCCAUCUAAAUACUAUGGUGAUAAUUGUUGUUAUAUGCAUACUUUUCUAAGGGACAAUACUAAUCCCAUAGAGUACCAAAAUCAAUCAGACAAGCUCGGAGUGUAUCCUCUAACACCCGAAUCAUUCGCUCGGACUGACCAUCAGUCUAAGGGUGAAAAGUUGUACUUAUAUCUAAUCGAGUACCCAUACCAUGUUGUAAAGCCCUCCAAAAGUGAUAUGUAAAUAAUUCUCUUCAGUCAAAGUCAAUAGAAAUAAGCAUUCCAUUAAGUCAAACAAUCUAAUAUAAAACUAGGCUAACUUCUAUGUUGUAUACUUCACCCGAACUAGGAUGAAAAGGGAAGACUUGGUCAACCUGUCAAAGACCACCCAAAUAGACUCAUAACCACCCAUGGUGGUAGGUAGACCCACAACAAAAUCUAUAGUAAUCCAUUCCUACUUCCAUAUAGGAAUGGACAUCCUUUGAGAUACACUUCCGGGUUAUUGGUGCUUACACUUGAUCGUUGGCAAGUAAGGCAUCUAGACACAAAAUCUGCAAUAUCCCUAUUCAUGCCACACCACUAGGAAUGGUGACUCAUAUCAUGAAAAACAUUUGUUGCUCCCAUAUGGAUGGAAUAUCGAGAACAAUAAGCUUUAUCUAGAAUUAAUCUUAUCAACUUGCCCAUCUUGGGCACACAAGUCCUAUCUCCAAUCCUCAAGACAUAAUCAAAAUCAAGAACAACCUCCUUGGCUUCCCCACUCAACAUAUUUUCUUGAAUGAGACACAACUUUUCAUCAUCAAACUAGCGCUCAUGGAUCAACUCAACUAAGGAAGACUGUACUUCUAUAAAAGUAAUCAAGCCACCACUCUCCUCAGAAAUCUGUUAUUGGAUGAGACUAUUGGCUAAUAGUCUCUCCUCAACACUGAAAGCGACAAGACUUUCCAUUCUAGAAGUCUUCCUACUCAAAACAUUGGUCAUCACAUUGCCGUUUAGAGGAUUUUGAGAGACUGCCCCUGUGCUAGAAGUCUUCGUACUCCAGAUCAUGAGUAAGAUAGUUCUUCUCAUGGGUAUUCAACUGUCUAGAAGCAUAGGUUAUUACCUUCCCUUUGUGCAUCAGAAAACCACCCAACCCGACUCUUGAAGCAUCACAAUAAAUGGUAAAAUCCACACCCUCCUCAGGUAGAGUCAAAACAUGAGCCAAUGUCAACAAGGCCUUAAACUUUUGAAAGCCCUCUUCAUAAUCAUAAGACCACUGGAAGCUCACACUUUGUCGAGACAAUCUCGUCAAAGGGGAUGCAAUAGUGGAGAAGCUUUGAACAAACCGCCUGUAAUAACUUGCCAUACCCAUAGAACUCUGAAUCUCGAUACUGAAGUAGGUCUGGUCCAACCUCUAAUUGCCUUAAUCUUGGCUAGAUCCACCAGAAAACCCUUAUUGGACACCACGUGUCCUAGAAAUGCAACAAAAUCAAGCCAAAACUCGCACUUCGAGAACUUGUCUUACAACCUCUUCUCCCUCGAACUCUGGAGCACAAUCUUCAACUUUCGAUCAUUGUCUUCCUUUGUCCCAAAGUACACCAAGAUGUCAUUGAUAAAGACUCACUAAAAAAUCCAAAUAAGGUAGAAACACCCCGUUCAUUAACUCCAUGAAUGUUGUAGGGGCGUUACUCAAACCUAAAGAUAUCAAAAGAAGCUCAUAGUGCCCAUAUCAAGUCUGGAAAGUUGUCUUAGGGACAUUUGAUGCCCUAAUCUUCAAGUGAUGAUAUAAAGACCUCAAAUCAAUCUUAGAAAAUAAAGAUGAUCACUAAAGUUGAUCAAAUAAGUCAUCAAUGCGAGGAAUAGGAUACUUGAUCUUCACUGUCACUUUGUUCAACUACUGGUAAUCAGUACACAUUCUCAUGGUUCCAUCUUUCUUCUUCACGCACACGACAUGAACACUUCAUGGAGAUACACCAGGCCCCAGGGCGAAUGAACCCCUUACUUAAAAAGUCUUGUAACUGAUCCUUCAAUUCCUUCAAAUCUACUGGAGCCUGCGAUAUGGUGGAAUAAAGAUGGGUCCGGUUCCCAACUCCAAGUCAAUAGCAAAAUCAAUGUCUCUAUCCAAAGGAACGCUUGGAAGAUCAAUAGCAAAAAUAUCUAAAAACUCUCGAACCAAGGGAAUAUAAUCCAUGGGAAGUGGCCCCGGACUACUAUGUCGAAUAAAAGUCAAAUAAGACAAACACCCUUUAUCAACCAACCUCUGAGCAUAAAUAAAAGAGAUAACGUUGCUUGGGUAAGAACCACUAACACCCAUCCACUCAAUCCAUGAGACAUCAAACAUAACUAAGAUCAUAGUCUUAGCAUAAUUAUCAGGAAUAUCAUGAUGCAUGGAGAGCCAAACAAUACCUAAGAUAAUAUCAAAGUCUACCAUUCCCAAAAUGAUCAAGUUAACCCAAGUAUCAUACCCAGUCAGAUAAACAAGACUAGAUCGAUACACUCCAUCCACCACUAGGGGCUCACCCAUUGGUGUAGAAAUACACAUAGGCACAUAAAUGCUAUCAAAAAUCAUAUUGAAUCCAACAACAAAAUGGGUAGAAACAUACGAGAAAGUAGACCCCAAAUCAUACAAUACAAACAUACGUCGAUGGCAAACUAGGACGAUACUUGUAAUCAAACAUAAUAAAUAUCGGCCAUUGGCUUCCCUGGAAAUGCAUAACACCGUCCCUCUUGACCACAUCUAGUUUGAGUAGUACCAUGACCUCCACUUUUCUAAGUUGUAGCACCAAUACUAGAAAGAGCGCCUUUACCGAAUUUAUCUCUACCUUGAUCCCUUGUCAAAAGCAUUGAACCUAUAGCUAGAGCAGUUGAAUAAGUACGCUGUGGUUCUAAGUGAGCCUUCAAAGGGCAUUACCGUGUCACAUGACCCAGAUCCCCACAACCAUAACAAGAUCUAGGAGUGGAAGACUAAUGUUGUGAACUAGAUAAGCUAUCGUGGCCACCUUAACCAGAACCAUAUGAUCCUUGUGAUGGCUGACCGCUUUUAACUAUUGUCAUAGAUGCAUGCAUUAGCCCAUGAUGCUGGAAAAAGCUUCCACCUCUUUGUGAGCCUUUGCCUCCUAAUGAGGCGCCAAUAAACUUCCCGAAAAAAUAGGCCCUCUUGAGGUCCCCAAACUGCUCUCAAACCAUCAGAUCUGCCUCAUUGCCAGUUCUCAUAAAUGGCUGAAAGGAAGCCCUCUCUCUAGAUGCUUUGAACAUAUAAGAUCAAAUGGAAAAAGUUAAUCCCCUCACGAACCUACAGACUCUCUUUGCCUCAUCCAGAACAAUAGUUAUAGCAUGCCUGGAUAACUCACAGAAACAUGCCUCAUACUCAGUAACAGAAAAUCUAUCUUGUGUCAUUUUCUCAAAUCUCAAUCGAAUCUCCCCCCUCAUGCUACAAGGGACAAAGUGGUCCUGAAAAGCACUAGACAAUGCAUCCAAUUCUACCAGAGGAGAUCCAACUGGCCUAGACCUCACAUACAUAUUUCACCACUUUCUCACGGGUCUGUGGAGUUGGAGUAUAACAAAUUGAACACCAUGUGCAUCAACCAACCCACUGCCUCUAGUAUCUCAUGGAAUGGAACUCAUAAACAUCCUCACUCUAACCACCCUGAUAUAAUGGUGGUUUCAUCUUCUAAAAUCUCUCAUAUCUAUGUUAAUCAUCUAUUGUCAGAAUAACCUUAAGAAAAAUAUGUAUACUAUCAGUCGGUAUAGGAACAACUAGUGGAUGAUCCACUUGAUCAUGAAUAAUCGGGCCAUAAAUUAUUGACCUGGGGUUUGUGCCUCUACUCUAAUUUGAGAACCCGAUGGUGUGCCAGCUGCACCACCCUGAGUGAAUUCCUUUAACACACCUAGCAUCCUCAACAAGGUAUCCUAAAACAAAUAAGCAAUAAACUCAGGAGAAACCUUGUCCUCAACAACCUCAACUUGUGGCUUAGGGGAGUAGCUCGGCCUCUAGCUGGUGUCGCCCACGGGCACGACCUCUAACCGGUGCUACUCCACAAGCAUGGCCUCUAGUUUGGGCCCUACCUCUAGCCCUAGUUGUGUCUCAGAAACUGUCUUGACGACUGCCUCCCCUUACCACUGGAAAUAGAUGCUUUAGUCCUCGCUAUUUGCCAAAAGAACAUGCCGAAACUCAACACUAGAGAAAUUAACCAUGAAUGAUAAGCAAGAAUGAAUAAAAAGAAAGUUUCCUAACAAUUUCUAUAGCCUCUCUAAGAUAAGUACAGACAUCUUCGUACCAAACUCUAAUUAGACUUGGUUUGUACAUACAUGAGACCUAUGAACCUGGAACUAAUACCUUUUUCCACGACUCAAAAUGGAUGUGAUGGCACUUAUUUAAUUCCAUCAAGUCAACCUUAAACCAAACAAUACGAAAGAAAUGUGGAAAAUAAAUCAAUAAUAGCAUAAGUGCGGAAUACUUAGCCAAUUUCAAAUACCCCCGAAAUCUAGUUGUCAUGUUUACAAGACUUUAACGCACAAAAUACAUAAUUGAAAGAUAAAUACAAGUCUCAUGUCUUUGUUUAUCUUAUAGUAUAAAACAUAUAGUAAGGAACAAGAGGGACCGCUAGGAUGACAAGUAGCUACCACUCAAAAUCCUCUGAACGCCUUAAAGAAAGAUCACAAAGGUCAGGGCUCAAAACCUACACAAGUGUAGAAGCAAGUGGUGAGUACCAAACAAUACGGUACUCAACAAGCAAACCACUAAACAAGCUAAAACUUAUCUAGAAUACGAGUACUCCUUUCAUCCUAACUGAACUGCCUAAACUACAACAUAUAUAAAUAUUAGCCAAACUUAACACUUUACAACACACAACUCACAAAACUUAAAAUCACAGUCCAACAGUUAUAGUUCAAUAAGAAAAAAGUAUCAAAUAUAUUAAUAACAAGUAUCAAGUAGAUCAAUCACAAAUAUCAAGUAGAUCAAUCACAAGUAUCAAGUACAUCAAUCACAAUAGUCAAACACUUGUCGGAACCAUUUCCCAUUGGUAUAAUAUCACUGAUCGAAACAAUUUCCCAUCGGUUGUCACUUCUCAAAACCAUUUUCCAUCGAUAUAAUAUCACUCACCGGAACCAUUUCCCAUUGACAUAAUCACCACAUUUCUCAUCACUGUAUACAAAAAUCAAUGCAAAUCGGAAAUUUUGCACCAUAAGGAAAAGACAAUAAACAUAAUAAAUUCAAGUCCAUAAUGAUGCCAUCAAAACAUUUCAUCAAUUAACAAAUUAGGAUCAACAUCACGGAAAUUCACAAAAACACAACUAUCAACAUGUUUUUUUUUUUUUUGUUUUAAUCCCCUUUCCAUUCCUUAAUCUCAAUCAGUGGAGUAAUUGUAACAAUCACAUCAUUCCCAUAACACACACAAUGAAGGGAAAUACAAGAUUCUACAAGUUGUACAAGGUUUAGAAGUUCACUUUCCUUAAUUUAAUUGCCAAUCAUAAUAUGAUUCUAGAAAUAAUAACACCUAUAUCAUACACAUCUGAUACCGAUCUGUGAAGCAUCACAAUAAACCAAAAAACCAUCUGAUCCUUCCAGUAAUGUCAAAAUAGGAGCCAAAGUGAGUUUAUCCUUUAAAUUUUGGAAACUCUUCUCACAAGCUUCUGACCAUAGAAAUUUCACUUUCUUUUUGAGUUAAUGUUGUCAAAUGUGAAGCAAUAGAGGAAAAUCCUUACAUGAACCUUCUAUAGUAACCGGUCAAACCCAAGAAACUCUGUUAUCUGAAGUGGACAAAGGUCUAGGCCAAUUCUUAACCACCUAGGUUUUCUUAAGAUCAACUUAAAUACCUUCACCGGAGACAAUAAGGCUAAGGAAAUUAACGAAACUCAACCAAAACUCACACUUGCUAAACUUAACAUACAAUUCAUGGUCUUUGAGAAUUUGCAACACGAUCUUCAAAUGAUCAACAUACUAAUCCGCUCUUUGUGAAUAAAUCAAGAUAUAUCAUCAAUAAACACAAUCACAAACAUGUUGAGAUACUUCUUAAGGACCCUAUUCAUCAAAUCCAUCAAUGCCAUCGGGGCAUUAGUCAAACCUCACGACAUCACCAAAAACUCAUAAUGAUCAUACCGAGUACGAAAAGUCAUUUUUGGAAUGUGAUUCUCUUUCACCCUCAAUUAGUGAUAACUCGACCGAAGGUCAAUCCUAGAGAAGUAACUUGCUCCUUGGAGUUGAUAAAAACAAUCAUCUAUCAUUGGGAUAAGAUACUUAUUCUUAAUGGUAAUCUUGUUCAAUUAUCGAUAAUCAAUACAUAUUUGGAGAGAACCAUUCUUCUUUCAAGCAAAAAAUAUUGAAGCACCCCAUAGAGAGAUACUCGGUCUAAUAAAUCCAUUAUCCAAUAAAUCUUUCAAUUGGUCCUUUAACUCCUUAAGUUCUGUUAGGGCCAUAUGGUAAGGGGAACUAGAGAUAUUCUGCAUAUCUAGGAAAAGGUCAAUACCAAAAUCUAUUUCUCUUUCGGGAGGAAUACCAGGAAGAUCAUCAGAAAACAUUUCCGGGAACUCAUUUAUUAUCAGGACUGACUUUAGAGUAGGGGUCUCAACAUCUAUAUACCUAACUCAAACAAGAUGAUAAAUGCAACCCAUAGAAAUCGUUUUCCUAGCCUUUAGGCAAGAUAUAAACUGACCAUUAAGAACAUACUUUUCCCCCUUUACGUGACAUGAUAGGUUCGUUCGAAACCUUGAAAGUGACCAAUCGGAUCCUAUAAUAAUAUAUGGAAGCAUAACAUGCAUGAAGUUAAUUAUCUCCAGAAUAACAUCAAAAUCUAAUGUAUCAAGCUCUACAAGAUCAACAUGAGUGACUAUAUGAGAAACAAAAAUAGAUUUUUUUUUGUAGACUCUCUUAGCCACAAUAGCAUCACCAACGAGAGUAGAGACAUGAAAAUGGGUUAGAAAGGCUUUUGGGACCAACAUCAAAUCUCAUGAUUUAUAAGAAGUAACAAGCGAUAAGGUAAUACUUGGAUCAAGUAAAGCAUAAACAUCAAGAUGAAAAACUUUCAACAUACCGGUCACCACAUCCGGAGAACCUUCACGAUCUUGUCGAGUCUGAAGGGCAUAAAAUUUAUUUUGUUUUAGAGCAUCUGAACCGGAACCACUAGGUUGAACUUGCCUACCAUCCCUUCCCUUAGUAACGAGCAAUGGGAAAUCUCUUAUCUUGUGACCACUCUUUCCAUACUCAAAUAAGCCAUUCAUACCUGUCAAACACUUGCGAUCAUGUUUCUUACCACAUAUAGUGCAAAAGAAUUUGGGAUAAUAUUAUUAGAAGAGAUACAUAUAUCAUGAUUUUUUCCUUCCUUGAUCAAGGAGUUUUCCACAUCAAAAUGAUUAUGUUGAUUUACCUUUUCACAGUUUAACUUCUAGCAUAGUUGGUAAUGAACAACCAAAAUGAAUAUUCCUAGUUGUUUAUCUUAACAUGGAAAAACUUUUGCAAAAUAAUCGCGGUUAGGGUAGAAGGUUAGUAUGUAGUUUAGUGUACGUGUUAUCUUGUUUUUAGCGGGAUAGGCAUGGUAAUAGUCUAGAGUACCGUGUCUAUGGUAGUAUUAUGUCACGCCCCGAGCCUCCACCCUGGGCGGGACUGGCACUCGAGAACCAUUGCUAGCCCCAAGCGAACCCUUGGCCUGACUUACUUACUCAGUGGAAGCCUUAAACAUAAGAGAUAAUCUCCAAUAAUAAACUUGAAUUUAAAAUUUAGAAUGUCUUUAAGGAAAUAUUCCUAGCAAUAUUCCUCAGUUGAUAUGCGGCUAGUUCUACUCGUUCAGCAUCGGCAACGUGCAUAACCUCAAAUACCUUUUGUAGUUCCUCAAUAAAGUUCUGGAUCCUCAGUAGUGCUUGAGCCAGUGAAACUUGGAGGAUUAAUCCUCAAGAACUCUCGGAUCCUCAAAGUAUCAACCACUUCCUGUCUAGCCCCUCUUUGUUGCCUAGCUUGGUUGGUCACAACUUGGCUUAACAUCCUGAUCGCUUCCCUAAACUCAGCAUUGGUAACUUUUCCUUGAAGUUGCACUUCAGGUGCAUUGGGUACCCUUUGCUCCUCAACAGUACGCCUAGCAGGACGACCUCUGAUAGCUCUUCUUGGAGGCAUGAUUAACUGAAAGGCACACACAAGCACGAAUUAGAAAGAGACUUUAUAGAGAUGAACUCUAUCGCACGAAAUGAGUGUGAAAGAAGUGAGAUAAUUUCCUAAGUGUCGCAGCCUCCUAAUUUUAGAUAUGGCGCGCUUCACACCGAUAACUAGGACUCUACAAACACAGCUUCAUAGAAUCCCUAGGACUCUUGAACUCUGUGCUCUGAUACAAAGUUUGUCACGCUUCAAGCCUACACCCUGGGCGGGACUGGCACUCGAGAACCAUUGCUGGCCCCAAGUGACCCCUUGGCCUGGCUUACUUACUCAAUGAAAGACUUAAACAUCUUAAAUAAGAAACUUAUGAAUUUAAAACUUAGAAUGUCUUUAAGGAAACAUUCAAACUAGCCAAAAUGGCUACUCAAGUCUCAUAGCAAAACAUCUGAAAUACAAGACUAAAGGACUAUAACUACUCGUCUAUGAAGCCUCUAAAACAAAGAGGGAUGUGGGGACAAGACCCUGAUCAUCCUAACAACUGAAAUACUAGAAAGCAAUGUAAAAAGGAGCCCUCUGGAAAGCAAUGAGCCUCAUCAAUAGACUCUGAGUGCUCAACUAGAUCAACGAGGUGUUGGAUGAUGAUCCUGGUUACUUGUAUCUGCAUCAUAAAAUGAUGCAGGUCAAAUGACAUCAGUACAUUGAAUGCACGAGUAUGCGAGGGGAAUACUAAACAUAACAUAAGCUUGAAAGGAAUAUGAAAGAAACACUUACCUUGGCUUUACUCAACUCAUGAAUAACUUAACUCAAAUUCAAAGUAAACAACAAUAAUGGUGCAGUUAUACAAAACAUUUAAAACAAUAGUAGCAACUCAAUUUGUUAAAGAAAUGCAAUAACAACUCAGUUUACUUGUAAAGUAGUAUAAUACUGUGGGAGUUUCUCUAACCGACAACCACCAGCUUAAGUGGUGAUAUAACGUCUUGCCCACGCUGUCAGAACUCUCCAAUACUUUGUCGUCAUAUAGAACGCCUUAACUAAGUGGAUACACUAGUCUAUGCUAAAAAAGCACUUAAGGAAUCAUCUAAAAAGUAUGAUCCUUUACUACCAUGAUGGCUACAUUGGUUUAUGGAGACUUGAGUUAUUAUGAACUCGCAUCCCCAUAUCGGUGUUCAAUACUACUCCCAAAAAUAUACUUAGCUCAUAUGUUUUUAAAAUAAAACUUCUUUCUUUGGUUUGAGAUAAUUACUCACAACUUAGCUUAAAAUCUCUCUUGGAAUCGAUGUUCCCUUUCUUGCUCGAAUGUGAAAACAUUUUUAACUCUUGGGAAUACUUAGUUCCCGUAUAAUCUUUGAAGAAAUGAACAUUUAUUCUUACUCUUUACUCAACUCAGAGCUUAAGUCUUAAAGCAAAGUUAAAACGUUUGUAAAAGACUUUUGGAAAACUUUAUGAAUUUCUCUUAACUUGACUCUUAACUUUCCUUGACUUAAUUCUUAACUUUCCUUGAAUUGAAUUAUAGAUUCAAGGAUUGUGAUUUGUGAUAGGAACGAUCUCAUGAUGUUUAGGAGUGUUUUUAGAUAGUUAAACACGAGAAACGAUCAAGAAAUCACUGUCUGAAAACUAGUUCGCGACUCAGAGAUGUAUUUAAAUAUUUGGUCGCGAAAAUAGAAUUUGAGGCAGAACGGUAUGUGACCAUUCCGCGACGCGUGGAGAAUUUUCCCAUCCUGAGGAACGGUCCGCGUCGCGGACCUGGUACCCAGAUUCGCUCGACUUUUUCCUUCUUCGUUUUCCAGUCCCAAUUCGCCUAAACUCGAUUCUUUUUCCCAAAUUUUCUUUAGAUUCAGAUACCUAAUAGAUGUACCUAAGAACCUAACUCAAAACAACUCUAUAACUCGAUGCAAUAAUCUCAAAAUUCAUCAAUCUCAGCCCAAAUUCAAGAACGAAGGUAAAUUCAAGAACACAUAUCAAGAACAACAAACUUUCAACCUCUUUAGGAUGAAUUCACGCUGAAAUAAUCAUGUUUGGCACGUGGGUGAACGAACCCAACGUUAUGAAAGUCUCACAUACCUUGUAGAAUCAAAUCCUUGAAGAAAUCCGCAAUCAAUUCCUUACGAAGACGACGAAUCUUGACUUUCCUGUUCUCUUCUCUCUUGAGUUCUUCUCUCUAAAGCCCUAACGUGAAUUUUCAAUUGUGCAAACUGAACCAAUUCAGUUUUGACCCUAAUUAAUUCACUAAAAACGAAUUAAAUUACUUGAAAAGACCAAAAUAUCCUUCCAAAAUCCGGAUUACACUUCCUUAUUUGAACAACCCAACUUUCAAUGGGCAUAUCUCACUCAUACGAACUCGGAAUCGCGCAAACUCGGCGGCGUUGGAAAGAUAAUUCCAAGAUAUUUCCUAGGGUAUGUGGAAGCACACCUAACUCAUCUUGAGCUAGGAGUUAUGGUUGUUUGAAGUUGACAAAAAAAAAACCCAAACUUAACACUUAACAAAUUUCCAAUUCUAACUCUUUCUAGUUCUUUCAAUUAGCGAGAUGUUCCAUAUUAUCCCUAUUCAUGUAGUAUUAUUGUCUAUCAUAGCUAUUGCCUUUUGAUAUCUGUUAUCCUCUGUUGUUUAAUUUAUUUUGAUUAUCGAACUAUUUUGUUAUUGUUAUUGUUCUUUUUUCUGAAUGCUCUGUAAUGCUUCCCUUAAAUUAUUAACUAUCACGUUUCUUCACUUUUGUAUUUUCUCUUUCAUGACUAUUUUGGUUUAUUGCAGAUCGAGAGUUCUCGAAAAUACCUUUCUCUGCCUCCAUGAGAUAGGGACAUGGGCGGCUCAAGAAAGUUCAUGGUCUAAAGCCAAAAAUUAAUUUGAUGCCUUAAAAUAAAAUUCAAUAUAAUUUAUUUUGAUUUUUUUAAAGCUUUUUGUGUGACUAUUCAUUUUUCACGAUUUAAAGAAGUUGAAAAUCUAAUAUCAAAAUAUAAUAUGUCGCUGCUUUAAUAUAAUUGUUGUAAUACUUAAAAAGUGAGAAAAAAUUGAUAAAAUAGCCGUAUCUUAAUCAUUCACAUUCUUCAACUCUUCUAUCUUAUAUUUUUAUAUCUUAAUUUAAUCACAUUCUUCAGCUCUUAUAUUUUACUGAAUAUUUACAUUCAGUUUUUUCAAUUUGUAGAUCAAACUGGCACAUCAAUCAAUAUCAAGAAAAUAAUCUUUACUCUUUUUAAUGAGAAAAACUAGUACUCUAUUUUUUUUAUAUUUUAAAAUAAAAAAUAAUCUACUACACUAUUAGGGUCGUUUGGUAGGAGGUAUUAAGAGAAAUAAUCCAUGUAUUAUGUAUAAUAUUAUUUAGUACUAUGUUUGGCAAAAUUUUUGGGCCUAAGUAUAACUAAUCCAUGCAUGAAUUAGUUAUACACCCUACAUGGCAUUAUAGGAUGUAUUACUAAUACCUUCCAUUUGGUGGUAUUAGUAAUACAUUGAAUUUAAUAUCAUGAGUAAAUAUGGAUUUGGUCAAAUAUGGUUUGGAUAGAAUGGUUCUAACCCAUUUAAAAAAAUCUGUUUUUCCAAAAAAAAAAAAAACUACCCNNNNNNNNNNNNNNNNNNNNNNNNNNNNNNNNNNNNNNNNNNNNNNNNNNNNNNNNNNNNNNNNNNNNNNNNNNNNNNNNNNNNNNNNCCCCCCUCCCCCCAAUCGACCCCUAAUUUUUUCAAAAGGAAAAAAAAAAUUACCCUCUCCCCCGGGGAACCCUCACCCCCAGCCCCUUUCCACCAACCUACCCCUAAUUUUUUUUUGUUUUCCAAAAACAAAAUUUACCCCCACCCCCUACCUUCCACCAACCGACCCCUAAAUUUUUUGUUUUCCAAAAACAAAAAAAAAAUCUAUUUUUUCAAAAAAAAUAAAUUUACCCCCUCCCCCGGGCACCUCCCACCCCCCAGGGCCCUUCCACCAACCUAUCCCUAAUUUUUUUUUUUCCAAAAACAAAAAAAAUCUGUUUUAUCAAUUAAGUUUGAAAAUUAAUUGAAUUUUUGAAAAUUAAUUUUUUUAUUUUUAUUUUUUAGCACAAUAAAGAAUUUUGAGUGGAAGUGAAAACUAAGUGAUCUAUUAUGGGUCAAUAUGGAUACUCAUAUUUAACCCAUUUUGACCAUAUUUGUAGAGACUCUUAAAAUAGCUUGAAGCCCAUAUUUAAUCAAUUAAAAUAUGAGUGAUCCAAGUCAUUAAAUAUGGGAAAAAUGGACUCAUUUCAUUAAUAUGUGCUAAAAUUGCCACCCCCUAAAGACCCCUAGCUUGGAUAGUAGAUAGUCAUGUUGUGGCCUGUUGAGCCCUUUGGUUAGCAUAUCAGCCGACUGAUUUUAGGUUGAAACAUAAGCAAUCUUAACCAGUCCUUGUUGGAGUUUUCCCCUGAUGAAAUGACAAUCAAUCUCAAUGUGUUUAGUACGUUCAUGAUAAACUGGAUUAGAAGCCAAUUGAAUAGCAGACUUGUUGUCACUAUAUACUUGAACUGGUAAAUGAAUAAAUGAACCUUAACCUUUAACUCCUUCAGCAUUCCUACCAACCAAACUAACUCUGCUACUGUAUAAGCUAAGCUCCUAUACUCAGCUUCAUCUGAGCUCCUUGAAACAAUGGUUUGCUUCUUAGCUUUCCAAGAGACCACAGACUCUCCAAGUUUAACCACAUAGCCAGUCACAGACUUCCUUGUAAGAGGGCAUGCUGCCUAAUCUGCAUCACAAGUUUAACCACAUAGCCAGUCUCAGAUACAUCUCCAUACUGUCCGGCUGAUAGCUUCUGUUUGGCCAUCAGAUUGCAGGUGAUACACUGAAAUAAAACACAACUUGGUAUCACUGAGGCGAAAGAGUUCUGUCCAAAAGCCACUUGUGAAAGUUACAUCACGAGCACUAGUAAUGGUUAUUGGUAAGCCAUGUAAUUUGAAAUAUUGUCAAAGAAGAGCCAUGAGCUUACAACGGAGUAGGGAUGAGCAAUAUGCAACAAGUGACAAUAUUUAGAGAAACGAUACACUAGUAAGAUUACAUUUUACCCAUGUGAGGUAGGCAAGCCUUGUACAAAAUCCAAUGGUAUGUUUGACCACAUUUGCUCCAUUGCUUCCCAUUUGUAAACAAUGGUGGAGACAUGAUUUUUGUCAAGGGAAUUCAAGAAUAUUUAAAAACAAACUCUCGAAGAACUAAAAUUAUUAGAAAUUUGGGCAAGCGAGAAUUGGAUCUACGUUGUCUAAGAGAAUUUGAAUCACAUUUACCGCUGAGGUAAUCCUUUGGUUUGUGUCAAGGGGAUUCAAUGUCAAAUAUAUAUACACAAUAAAAAUUUAACCCUAUAUGCAUAGAGUUUUUUUUCCCUUUUUUCCAACUUUGGUCCACCUAGAUGCGCCCAUGUUUGUAAAGAAUGACAUCCACUUGUCUCUUAAGUCUCAUAAAUGGGUCCCAAGGUCUUAAUCCAAUUGACACCUAGAACACAUCAAAACCACUUAAAUUGAGAACAUAUAAAUUAAUAAGAAAAACAUGAUUAGCAAACCAUAUUGGAACAUUGUCCCAGAUUUCUGACCCGUUCACCACUUCUCACCACUAUCCUUAACCCAUCUCGCCUGUUGACUUGAAAAUUGAAUUGCGACACAAGUUUAGAAUCCACAAAGCUAUGGGUACUUCUAGAAUCAACCAAUGAUAUCUGUGAAUUUCCUUUCAAUUGCCUUGAAAAUGCAUAUUUUGUGGGGCUGUGAUACAUAUGAUGGAUUCCAAAGAAAUUUGAGGUUGUCUGUACUAGGAUUUGACUCUUAUUUGACAGAUUUUCCCACCUCUUCAUCUACAAGUCAAUUAAGACUAAUUUCUUGCACUAAUGGCCCUGAGUGAAUGGUUCGUCACAGUUGAAACAGAGUCCCUUGAGUCAUCUUUCCUCCAUCUCAGUUCUAGUCAAUUUCCCAAAUCUGGUGCAUUAUUGAGGUGAGAAAUCUAUUACUCCCUCUGUCCCAAUUUAUGUGACACAUUUCGGAUAUCGAGAUUCAAACAUGUCUAUCUUUGACCGUAAAUUUUUCCUAUAUUUUUUAAAUAUUUUGUAUUAUCAAUUAUUGAGACUUAAUCGUACUUUUUGUGUAAUUACAAAUAUGUAAAUCUCAUUUUAAAAAAUUUGAAAAUUUCAUGAGAAAUUCUCGGUCAAACUUAAAUUGUUUGACUCUCGAAAAGUGAAAUGUGUCACAUAAAUUGGGACAGAGGGAAUAUUUUUUUUUUAUCUAUGGGAAUCUGACAAUUGCAAAUGAUGGGGUUGUCCCUUGCUUACAUAAAGUCAAGAUAUACUCAUAACAAUAUCUAAAUCUGGAGGAUCAUGCAACUCUACCUCAAUUGCCUUAUAGUCAGCAAGACCACUUAUAUAAAGUUCAAUUUUUGCGAUGGUGUGAUGGUACUUGGCUGUGAACCAGUUGCUCAAAUUUUCUGUGAUAAUCUGCUGCUCCACAAAUCUUAUGCUCGAAUAAUCCACAAUUAUUCGGUACAUUUAGAGCAACAAAUCUUUGGGGAAUAUUUAGAAGAUAAACAAACCCCCCUUUCUUAUCGAUCAGGUAGACAAAUCAAGUCAUGCCUCUAUAAUCUCAAAAUCAAGAAAAAUAUUCGUGAUUAUCUGCAUUAGACCAGAUGUGGCAUAACCUAGCCAAUUCUCCAACUUCUGACUCAUGAUUGGUGAUCCAAAAUGGAAGUUACAUUAACGUUUGAAUUCAUCCCAAGAGGAUUGAGGCAUAUUGUCUUAAGUUGAAGGAACCAGAGUUGUAUUCCCUUCCACCAGAGGCGAAUCUAGGAUUUUUUGAACAUGGGUGCACCAAGUAAAAUAUAUUGAAGUAGAAAUUGAUCCUUAAUCCUCAAGGUCAAAAGCUCAACUUUUAACCAUGUGGGCCAUUUAGACUUCUUGUAGUAUGGGUGCCAGAAUAUAUUACACAAAUUUUAGAAUAUAUAUAUAUAUAUAUAUAUAUAAUAUCUAAUUUUACGAAGAGACCACGGACGCCGAUGCCCUAUUUUUUGGCUCUAAAUUCGCCACUGCCUUCCACAUGAAAAGAAAUAAGUCCAACCUUUAUUCUUCUGGAGUUUGUUGGUGUCUAAAGCAUUGUUUAUACCUGUUCAACCAUCCCAAAGUGUCCUCUUGGCCAGUAAAUCAUGGAAAAUUCAACUUUGUAUAUUUAGGCAUAUGAUGGAGCUUUCCCCGGUUUCCGAUCCCGACCUUCAUGACACUCAGUUUACCCUUCCAACUUCAAUAUUGACAGAUAUUUUUUGUUAAGUCAGAAUCAAGCCUUUGAAUUUGCUAAAUCCUUAGUGAGUACAUCCAAGUGAGCCUUUAUGGCUUCCUAUCUGGCUAAAUUGGUUGCACGUUCUUCUUGGAACAAGUUCACCAACUGUGUCAAUUGUUGCUAGACUUGGACUCUCAUAACUCCAAGCUAUCAUACCAAUUUGUUAUGGUCCCUUGUUAUGAAUUUGGUUAUGGAACACUGCAAAACAAAAUCAGAGUCAAUGUGGAAUAAAUAAGGAGUCUGGGAAGAGGUUCUCUUUAUGCGACCUACGGUGCUGGUUCGUGAAGAGAGAACCAGCAAUCUCUUGAGUUGAAGUACUCAAAAUCUGGAGCAAUUUUCUGCAUGCAUUUUAUCAAAUUCAAAUAACUUUAGAUACAACACUGGUAGAUUAAUCACCCACCUAAGAACAAGAAAGCAACUUAAUAAUAUUACUGGAAUGAGAAAGUGAAGAGAUAACCUCCCUAUUGCAAACAACUGCUACAAAGAAAUAAGAAAUAUAACUAACAGAUAUGCUGAAGUCAUCUAUUUCUCUGAUUUUAAAAAUUUCCAUGUGUAAACGGUAAACCGCUGGCAGAUUAAGGGGGUGCUAACAGGGUUGCUAUGAAUUGAAUCUUUUAUCUGGAAAGCUGCAACUGAGACACAAGUAAGUAGAUGUAGUUAUAGGAUAGAAGUCCUUACUCAUCUCUACAUUGGUGUUCAUAUCUGUCUUUUACGACUGUGUUUGGUUUUACUUUGUAAACCUGGAGAAAUCUGGCUAGUCAACACUGGAAGUUGAAGCAGCAUUUGUACUUCUCUGCUCCACUAUGUUCACUUCUCUUCUUAAGAGCUUGAGUUUAUGGAAUUUUACUAAAUUCUAUAGUCAUUAUUUUUUUAUUCUACUUCCUACUCAUUUUCUACUAAAACUUCAAAUUUGUAGGUUACAUUGCAAUCUGGGUAAUUUGAAGGAGAAGUACGGCUCAGGUAAAUAAUGCUGCUUUUAGGCAUGUUCAUACUAGCGUAUAACUACUUGGAUAUCUAUAAUUGCAUUAAAAAAUCUCUGUUUGGAUCCAUGUAGAUAAGGUUUUGCUGCUGCUGGAUCAUGAAUCUAUGAUCUCAUGUUCAUUGAUUUGCAGCAGUCUUUUACAAUGUGGAGAAUUCCAUCACUGUUUUACACACUUAACCUUUUGAUGCUCUACUUUUACCUGUAUGAAUUAGUUUUUAGCCCUUUCAAAAACAACUGGUGAUGAUAGUUUCAUGUAAUCAACAGUAUAAAUCCUGCAAAAAGCAUCGAACUCCUAAUGUUAUCAAUUCCAAAAUUUAUCAAACUCAAAUAUGAAUUUAUGCCUCACAUCUUUUAAUUUCACAGAAUAGAUGAUGUUCAGCUUCCUAAGCAUAUGUCUGAGACAAAUGGUUUAACUGAACAAAUGGACUCAUCCACACCUCAGGAAGAAUGCAAAUGGGGUAACUAUGCUAGAGGAGCAAUAUAUGCCCUGCAGAGCAAAGGAAAUCAUCUGAAAACGGUUAGUAAGGUUUCUUUGGCUGCUGGUUGAUAGACAUAUGUGAUAUGCUUAGUUUACCAAACCAGUUGAUUCCAUUUAUGUUAUCGAGAUUUACAAAAUGGUUCUUUCGCAUUUAAGAGAAGAAUGAGUGGAAGCUUGUUUACAAUUUCUGUUUAAGCACUGUAACUGCUCCGAAUCUGAGUAUUUUCCAUUUAUUACUUAUUAAAGUGAGUCAGUUAUAUUCAAUCAACUUGCAGAUGUUGAACUCUAAAAUCUUACAUUCCGUUAUUCAUUCCAUAGGUGGACUUCUAGCUCAUUAAUAUAGAUUUAGAUCCUUCCAUGCACCAUCCAAUUUUCACUUCUUAUAUCUCCUAUGUACUGAAAUGAUUGUUUCUACAAUUUUGUGCUGGUGGAAAUGAUCUAUUAUGACCUUUCCUGAUCUCUAUUGUGUAAAAAUGAAGAUCUCUUGUAAAAAAAGACAUAAAACUAAAAACAAGUUUUUAUAGGACUAUAAAAUCAAUUCUUGCUUUGUUCUGUUUAAUGCUGUCCGACAGGAACCCAUUCGUUAGUUUUUGAAAAUAUAUAUUAGUCACCAUGCAUCUGCAAAUUGUUUGAGUACUGGUUACUGGAAGAUGAUGCUUCUGGUUGUUCCCAUUUGAUUUUCACAAAGAUAAGCUAAAGAUUUUCAGUAAGAAAAUGUUAAAGCUAUGAGAUACGCUACAUAUGAAGUUUUGAUGAUUAGCAAGCAUAACAAACAUGAUGAAAGAACUAGACACUAAACAUGUCUCAAAUAGGGACUAGUAGUGUUUAUGACACGACUACUGCAAGAGCUGAUUACAGGAGCACACUGCCAGAAUUGAAGGAAUCAGGUCCUUCACAGUAUACUGGAGAAGACUGUUGAUCAGGCGCAAAGCAAGUUCCAAGUACAUGAAGGAUUCAUUGAGGAAUUGGGAUUACGGCUAAUCACAUGGAUCAAAGAACAAGAAAUCAAGAUGGAAAUAUUACCAUAUUUGCACGCAUGGAAAGAGUUUUGGAAAUAGGAGAAAACAAGUGGAAGUCGACGCGUGAAUGGAAACGAAGUUUGAAAGAAGGAUGCACAUCCAGCCAAAAAAAUAUGAUAAUAACA
rnacentral:lncRNA from 1 species